rnacentral:lncRNA from 1 species
CAUUAGAAAGUAUACAGUGGACAUGGGCACUGAUUAAGCUCAGUUGCCUUGUAAGGUUUCUCUACAAUUUAAAACUAAAGCAUCUUGCAGCAGGAUCUAUUUGUUCCUAAGAAUUCGAGUCUAACAAAGAAAUGUUCUAGGACAAUGCAGGGAAAUUGCCGUCUUAACAAUCAGAAAAAAUCAUGAUGAUUGUCCUCAUAAAACCUAUACAUUUACCUAAGGAAUGGUGCCCAACAUGCUUCAGUUCCCCCCGGGCUUAUGGUUGAGCCCCUUAUUGCAUGGUCCGCUUUACGUUUUUAAGAAAGCAAAGAGUACUCAUCAUAAGAAUAUUGUUGAUUAAAUAAUGGGCUCGUUUGGAAGGGUUUUUAAAAUGAUCGAAAACGCGUUUAAUGAAAAUGUUUUUGGGUUCGAAAAACACUUGAAGUGCUUCAUUCACUUGCAUUUUUAGUAAGGAUUGGUCUCAAAAUCAUUUUAACAAAAAACGUUUUCAGUUAUUUAAAAAGUACUUCCAAACGAGCUUGAUAUUAUAUUUCGGCCACAUAAGUAGUUUAAAUUCAUUAGCCUCUCAUAUGCAUAAGUCAUAAGGCAACCAAUCAUUUGCUAAGUCCAAGGCAUACAACAUAAAUCUUAAUGCUAGUGAUGUAUGCUUACAGUUUCUAAACAAGCAGAUAUAAUUUGUCAUGCCCGGCAAUGCGUCUAUCCCACGCUGUAUGUGAUCAAGCGUAAAUAUUAAACAUAUAACUGAAGACAUACCAAUUGAGCCUACGAUGACAAACUGGAAAUUAAAAAACCAUCCAAGAUAUUGAAGCCAAAGAAAUAAGGCCUACCUUCUGUUCAACUCGAGUCUUGUAUAUAAUGUUGGAUAUAUGUCAACAAUCUAUGAUAAACUUGCAUAUACUAAUAAUAAAUAUAUUACAGAGAAUAAACAAGAUGAAAUAUUAUUUAAGCAGAGAAACAGAAGAUCGAGGCUUGCGUACUGCAAUGUUUUUGAAACAAAAAUUUCGUCCAUACUCAGUGCUUGUAGUUUUACAGACGUCUGCUUCACCAAGAUUCAACGAUCUAAGUUAGAAUUCCAACACCGGAAAACUAGACUUCUGGCGAAUUUGUUUGUGGUACUCUUAGUAUGCUUGGUAUAUAAGGAUUGAUGAUUUUCAGUGUAUUGAAUGAUAUGUAGAUGCAUGUAUUUAUAGUGAGCAUAUGUCUAUUUGCAACAUACAUGUUUUUAGGAGGCGACUGUUCAAUGCAAAUGGUGUGUUGCUUCAUGUGUUUCUCAGAUAUGUUCAUAGGCUCUCAGACUUCAUCUGAAAGGAUGAGUUUUUUCAUAAAAAAUAAUUUAAUUAAAUUCGAAAUUAAUUAAAUUUUUUAAUUUUCAAAGCCUGGCGAAUUUGUUUGUGGCACUCUCAGUAUGCUUGGUAUAUAAGGAUUGAUGAUUUUCAGUGUAUUGAAUGAUAUGCAGAUGCAUGUAUUUAUAGUGAGCAUAUGUUUAUUCGCAACAGACAUGUUUUUAGGAGGCGACUGUUCAACACAAAGGGUGUGUUACUUCAUGUGUUUCUCAGACAUGUUCAUACACUCUCAUACUUCAUCUGAAAGGAUGAGUCUUUUCAUAAAAAAUAAUUUAAUUAAAUUCAAAAUUAAUUUUCAAAGCCCUCCCCCCAGGCCCAUCUAUUGAUAAUUACACCCCAAAGCCCAACCUCAAGGGUGAGUCCAAUUUUAUUCUCCAAGAUCCAUCACUCAAAUUACUUUUUAUAAGGGACAAAACCUUAUAAAGUGAGGAAAUCUUGUGGUGGUGAGCAACGUGGGAUAAUGAAAUUCUAUUCAAAAUUUCUAACAUAUAAACCCUCCACAACAAAACAGUGUCGAUGAUGCAGUGAAUCUGAUCUGAGACAGAUCGCUCAAACAUCAACUUCAGCUAAAAAUAAGGCUAUACUGGAUUGAUUAUAAGGAUGUGUAUGAUAGACCCCCCACCGUCCCUCGCAAAGCGAGGAACCUUGUUGGCUUUGGGUCGCCUUUUUAAUCUGUUUGUUGCCAUUGAAUGCCUAUACAGCAUACGAUGCAGUUGCUCACAUCACAUGUUUUAGUUAUCGAAUUUUAUCAUGGCAAUUGAUAAAUAUUUGUAGUAUGGAUAUUUUUCAGUAGGAACUGGCUUACUUGCAGGAUACACUCCAAAUGUAGCCCAUCCCGUUGUAAUCUCUCCACUUUUGCGCCUGCCUAUGUUCUGCGAUUGAGCAAACCAAGCUCUUUCAGUUGAUAUUAUUACAAACCACUACUGGUAUCAAUUUUCAAGACAUUUACCCACUCAGUCAGCCAAUUACAUUUCACCAGCAAGUUCGACUGCAAGAAGUGUCGCUUUAAUACGAUUUGGCACAUUGCAUCUCCAGAACUUGUUCUCUUAAGAUAGGUUAUGUUUCUCCACAGUUUGAAACAUGAGAGUUUUAAGAGAGCAAUAUGAGCUUACCGCACAUUUUGGCAAGCAAAAACUGGAUGGGCUCAUAACCCUCCACUGGGUAGUGAUAUUUAACUUCAUAUGGAGUAUCACGUGCCCUUUCACCUGAAAAUUACAAAUAGGAAUUAAGAAGACGUUGUUGUAACUUGUAAGGGAUAUCAACACCCACUGCAGUAAAGAUACCCUUACAUCUCCAUGCAACAGUUGAGAUUGUGGGUGAGGGUGACAAAGUUGGAGGGGGGCUCCCAGUUGCUCCCGACCCUAAUAACUUAACAUCCAGGCCAUUUUCUGGUAAGACCUGCAAAUAUUUAAUCAAACUGAGGACAGAUAAUUUGAACAUUUUAUUUACUUAUAAAUGGUUUUGCAUGCAUCAAAGUGUACGGAAGCCGAGCACCUUAAUAUUAGGUCUUUGCACCAAAGUGGAAAAGGAAGCAAUAUUGCAGCCAUAGAAAGGGUUACACGUCUCUGUUCGGUCCCAAAGCUGCAAAAUGCACUUUAUAGGUCAGAUUGAUGGAGGCUACUUUUUUCUUUUCUGGUUUAGGGGAAGGAGAUGUUAAACGACUCAUCCCAUACCUAAACUCGCAGUGAGACUUUUCAUAGCCUAAUUGAGUCAUGCCAUCGUAAACCUGCAAGUUCACAAAAGAUACAUAUUAGUCCCCAAGCUAACAUUCAACAUGCAGCAUGUGUUGGAUAAUUAGGUGAUGCAUAUUCUGUCCACUUCACACAUUUUCGGUGUUCAUUCAUCUUCAGAAAAAUAAGAUCAAAUAUUCAAAGUUGGCGCAAUAUGUAAUGAUUGCCUCAACAAAUAUUUAACGUUACAUUUUACCAUAAUGAAUUGACAAUGAAUUGAACUGUGGAGGAAUUAAACUUUGAAUUUUUGUUCAAGCUGUUUUAUAUAAUAGUAAAGGGGUGUGCUAUUUACACACAUUUUUUACUUCUCACACAUCCCUUAUUAAUUUAUGUUCUUUGAUCUUUUUCAAUUGAUCUGAUCUGGUGACCGAAAAUUAGAAGAGUGUGUGAGAAGUAAAAAUGGGUGUGUGGAUAUCACACCCCAAUAGUAAAUGAGAAAGCUUAAAACUUUUUAAAAUAAUGCGAGGAUAUAAUGGGUAAAAGGUGAAUUGGUGAUAAAUUGUUAUUCAAAAUUAAGAGCUAAAUUUAUGGCAACAAUUGUUAUUGUCACUUUAUCAUUGACUUGUUUAAUACAUAUUUGAUAAUUAACCAUGUCUGUAAUUUGAUUAGUUUAUUUUGUUUUUUUGCAUGAUUAUUUUAAAAUGUAUAUAAUAAAAUUAUGUUAAAUUCAAAAAAUUUUAUUGUUAGAAAUUCAACAGCCUAGAAAUAUAGCAGUUGAAAAUCCAACGGUUCGGAACAUACCAAGUCGCCCCUCUCAAUCGGGUGUGAGGGCGUCUGCCAAGCGGGCCUCGCUACCUACUUUUGGUUGGCCCAAAAACUUGAACUCUUGCGAACCGCACGUGCCUGACCCAAAAUCUCACCUCAAACGGACAGGCGCGUGAGAAUGGCCCGAUUGUUAGGUCUGGGGGGUUGGGCCCGCUGAAUGGCCCCAAGGUAGGCUGGAGCUGUUUUUGCUGGAGUGGGAGGAUUGACUCACUCAAUUGCAAGGGCAAUUCAAAGAGGUGGAGGUGGAGUUGCUCCAACUACUCUGCAGACCAAAAAAGGGUAGAGAAAUUUUCCAAAAGUAAAAGAAGAAAAAAGAGAAAAGUGAAAAUUGAUGACAACAACAAACAAGUGUUAAAAAUUGGAAGAAAAGGGAAAAAGGAAAAAAAACAACCCAAAAAUAAAAAGCCACAAGAAACCAUAUUCCAAAAUGCAAAUUCCAUUCCAUUUUAUAUUUUUCCAAAUUCCUAAAACAAACAAAAAUAAGGAAAAUUAAUAAAAAUAGUUUGAAAACUUUGUGUUUUAACGAUAAAUAUAAAAUAAAAUGUAAAGUAAAUAGUAUUAGAAUUAACCUUUUAGUGUAAAAAUAUAAUUUUUUAUUAAAAUGAACAGUACUGGAAGAUUUUCGUUAAAAUUUAAAAAAAAAAAAAAAGCAAAAAAGCAUUGAAAAUUCCAAAAAACAAAAACAAAAAGGCCUCCAAACACUCCCACACACAAUAGAGAGAAGCAGCACCUCUCAACCUCGAGCUCCGCGCUCCGCGCUCCGAUUCUCUGUAAAGAAACACAAUCGAACAGAAGAAUUACGAUCAAAGCUUCAAACUUUCCCAUUAAUUUCACAAAAUUUGAGCGCCAAAAUCCAUCGGAGCUUCGGCAAAAACCUGGAAACUAUCAUUAUUUACAAGCGUCUUCAAUCGCAGAGAGCCAAAUGUACGAACCCCACCGGCCGCAGUCGAAAACCCAAACCCUAGAACUAUGCCGCCGGGACUCGCAGUGACGGAACUUUCAAACCCUAGAAAUAGCCAAGCAUUCCGUGGGGUGGGUCGCGGCGCAGAAGCGGUGGCUUCUGGCUUUUCUCGUCAUGGUCUCCCUCUCUACCAUGAUCGCCUUCUUCAUCAGAGCCGCGUUUGACACCUGCGAUCGCGGCGGCCUCGACGUCGUCGAUAAGAGGGUUCCGCUGGGGGCGCCCAUUGGAACCAGUCCUAGCCCCCUCAGCUUCAUGAAGUCCAAGCUCGUGCUCUUGGUCUCCCACGAGCUUUCUCUUUCUGGUAAUGUCUCUGUCUCCAUUAGAUUGUUCAUUUUUAUGAAUUUAAUGCAUUUUUUAUAUUAAUCGUGUUUAAUUAGUUGUGUUAAGUUUUUAAUGACUUAUUAGAUUAUACAAACAUAGAAAGUUAGCAGCUUUAGAUGAAAAGCACCACUUGUAUCGGUGGAAUCUGUGAGCAUUAACUGGUUUUCGAUAACCCAUUUGACAAUAAGUCCUUUCCUGUCUCGCAUUAAAUACAGCACCAGAAACUUUGGCACCAACUUCCUUCAUCUUGGCAACAAUCGAUUCGGCCUCCUCCUUCGUAACCCCCCUUCUUCAACAGCGUAGGUGACACGCCCCGAUCCCGAUAUUUCCCCGAAUACUAGGAUAGGCACGUGCUGGCCGACACCCGAGGGUGACGAAAGCCAUUUAUUGAGUGUAAUUGCUGAAAAUAAAGGAUAGAUAAAACUUAUAAAUGUAAAAGAAUAAGGAAUAUGCAUUUAAGGAACGUGUUCAGAGCAUACAACUAACUAGAACACUAAAGAAAAUAAUAUGAAAUUAGAUGAACAAAGAAAUGGGUCCUACAUCGAGAGGACUCGAAGAUACCGAAGCGGAAGUGCCUGGAUGCCGGGAUUGUACGCCUCGAUUCUAAGUCCUGAAGGGGGCGCAAAACAAACAUGAGUGGACCGAUUUGAUAUAAAUAUAAUAAAACAAUUAACAACUUACUAACCCCCAGGUUUUAUGAAAACACAUAUAUAAUGAUAAACAUAGGUUUUCCGAAACCUAGCAUGAUGUGCAGUAUCUCAAAUCAUAACUCAUAUAUAAUAAUCACUAGUGAAUUGUCCGAUAUAACCUCCAGGCCCCAUGCCGGCUCCCCGUCUCUGAGCAGACAGUCAGAGGAAAAUACACUUCAGGCCCCAUGCCGGCUCCCCGUCCCUGUGCUAAAUAGCCAGAGGAAACAUACUCCAGGCCCUAUGCCAACACCAAACCGUCGCCCGGGACGGACCGGAAUCUAUCCCUACGUCCCGUAGCGGAAAGGACCACUAGGUAGGUACAAAACCAUUGAACAUAUAUAUAUUGAAAAACAACUUCAUAGUAUAAAGUCAUCCAUCAUCUAUACUAUAAAGAGGUGUUCGAAACAUGUUCUAAAUAUCAUAUCGUCAUCCAUCAGAUAUUCUAUAAGAACACGGGUUAUAGGAAAAAUAGUAAUAAUUCAAAAUAGCCUCAGUAAGCAUGUUAUCUCACAAAACGUUUCAUAGAACAUAAUCAUCAAAUCAUGUUUUUCAUGUAUGCAUUUCUACUAUUAAAACAUGCUUUUGAAGGGGUCCACUCACAGUACUUAGCCGUCGAAGAGCCACGCAAACUAACGAACAAGAAAACGUCACCAAUAAUUGCCCCUAAGCACAUAAAGGGUCCAAUUAAUAAAACUCUAUUUUAACAAUUGAAUUUGGGAAAACAGACGUUGGAAACGGAUUCAGAACGUCGAAUUACCCUAAGAAGGGUCCCGGACAAAAACCCGAAAAGUCAACCCUAAAGUCAACGUUGACCGGGGUCAACGGUCAAAUUAGGUCUAACGGGUUUUAGGCUUGAAAUCUGGAUUAAGGUUUAGGUUUAGGUUAAAUAGGAUUAGGAUCUAUUGGGUUUUGGAAUUCUAAGGUUUUGGGUUAAAAGGGUUUUGGGUGAAGAAAUGUGGUUUGGGCCUAAGCCCAAACACAUACACACCACAAACACACAUACACAUGCACGGCAUGCACAUGCAUGCAUGGCAUGCAUAUACACACACUUAAACACACACACACAAACUCACACACUCACACAGCACACACACACUAAAUAUACAUACACACACACACGGGUACACACUCACACACCCACACAAUCUAAAACACACACACACAUGGCCCAAAGGCCUCACAACCAAAAGGGUUGGGCUCAGAGGGAAGCCCAAAGGCUUGGUUGGUGGGUCGCCGGACCCAAUGGGAGAGAAAGCCGAAUUCGGCCGGAAANNNNNNNNNNNNNNNNNNNNNNNNNNNNNNNNNNNNNNNNNNNNNNNNNNNNNNNNNNNNNNNNNNNNNNNNNNNNNNNNNNNNNNNNNNNNNNNNNNNNNNNNNNNNNNNNNNNNNNNNNNNNNNNNNNNNNNNNNNNNNNNNNNNNNNNNNNNNNNNNNNNNNNNNNNNNNNNNNNNNNNNNNNNNNNNNNNNNNNNNNNNNNNNNNNNNNNNNNNNNNNNNNNNNNNNNNNNNNNNNNNNNNNNNNNNNNNNNNNNNNNNNNNNNNNNNNNNNNNNNNNNNNNNNNNNNNNNNNNNNNNNNNNNNNNNNNNNNNNNNNNNNNNNNNNNNNNNNNNNNNNNNNNNNNNNNNNNNNNNNNNNNNNNNNNNNNNNNNNNNNNNNNNNNNNNNNNNNNNNNNNNNNNNNNNNNNNNNNNNNNNNNNNNNNNNNNNNNNNNNNNNNNNNNNNNNNNNNNNNNNNNNNNNNNNNNNNNNNNNNNNNNNNNNNNNNNNNNNNNNNNNNNNNNNNNNNNNNNNNNNNNNNNNNNNNNNNNNNNNNNNNNNNNNNNNNNNNNNNNNNNNNNNNNNNNNNNNNNNNNNNNNNNNNNNNNNNNNNNNNNNNNNNNNNNNNNNNNNNNNNNNNNNNNNNNNNNNNNNNNNNNNNNNNNNNNNNNNNNNNNNNNNNNNNNNNNNNNNNNNNNNNNNNNNNNNNNNNNNNNNNNNNNNNNNNNNNNNNNNNNNNNNNNNNNNNNNNNNNNNNNNNNNNNNNNNNNNNNNNNNNNNNNNNNNNNNNNNNNNNNNNNNNNNNNNNNNNNNNNNNNNNNNNNNNNNNNNNNNNNNNNNNNNNNNNNNNNNNNNNNNNNNNNNNNNNNNNNNNNNNNNNNNNNNNNNNNNNNNNNNNNNNNNNNNNNNNNNNNNNNNNNNNNNNNNNNNNNNNNNNNNNNNNNNNNNNNNNNNNNNNNNNNNNNNNNNNNNNNNNNNNNNNNNNNNNNNNNNNNNNNNNNNNNNNNNNNNNNNNNNNNNNNNNNNNNNNNNNNNNNNNNNNNNNNNNNNNNNNNNNNNNNNNNNNNNNNNNNNNNNNNNNNNNNNNNNNNNNNNNNNNNNNNNNNNNNNNNNNNNNNNNNNNNNNNNNNNNNNNNNNNNNNNNNNNNNNNNNNNNNNNNNNNNNNNNNNNNNNNNNNNNNNNNNNNNNNNNNNNNNNNNNNNNNNNNNNNNNNNNNNNNNNNNNNNNNNNNNNNNNNNNNNNNNNNNNNNNNNNNNNNNNNNNNNNNNNNNNNNNNNNNNNNNNNNNNNNNNNNNNNNNNNNNNNNNNNNNNNNNNNNNNNNNNNNNNNNNNNNNNNNNNNNNNNNNNNNNNNNNNNNNNNNNNNNNNNNNNNNNNNNNNNNNNNNNNNNNNNNNNNNNNNNNNNNNNNNNNNNNNNNNNNNNNNNNNNNNNNNNNNNNNNNNNNNNNNNNNNNNNNNNNNNNNNNNNNNNNNNNNNNNNNNNNNNNNNNNNNNNNNNNNNNNNNNNNNNNNNNNNNNNNNNNNNNNNNNNNNNNNNNNNNNNNNNNNNNNNNNNNNNNNNNNNNNNNNNNNNNNNNNNNNNNNNNNNNNNNNNNNNNNNNNNNNNNNNNNNNNNNNNNNNNNNNNNNNNNNNNNNNNNNNNNNNNNNNNNNNNNNNNNNNNNNNNNNNNNNNNNNNNNNNNNNNNNNNNNNNNNNNNNNNNNNNNNNNNNNNNNNNNNNNNNNNNNNNNNNNNNNNNNNNNNNNNNNNNNNNNNNNNNNNNNNNNNNNNNNNNNNNNNNNNNNNNNNNNNNNNNNNNNNNNNNNNNNNNNNNNNNNNNNNNNNNNNNNNNNNNNNNNNNNNNNNNNNNNNNNNNNNNNNNNNNNNNNNNNNNNNNNNNNNNNNNNNNNNNNNNNNNNNNNNNNNNNNNNNNNNNNNNNNNNNNNNNNNNNNNNNNNNNNNNNNNNNNNNNNNNNNNNNNNNNNNNNNNNNNNNNNNNNNNNNNNNNNNNNNNNNNNNNNNNNNNNNNNNNNNNNNNNNNNNNNNNNNNNNNNNNNNNNNNNNNNNNNNNNNNNNNNNNNNNNNNNNNNNNNNNNNNNNNNNNNNNNNNNNNNNNNNNNNNNNNNNNNNNNNNNNNNNNNNNNNNNNNNNNNNNNNNNNNNNNNNNNNNNNNNNNNNNNNNNNNNNNNNNNNNNNNNNNNNNNNNNNNNNNNNNNNNNNNNNNNNNNNNNNNNNNNNNNNNNNNNNNNNNNNNNNNNNNNNNNNNNNNNNNNNNNNNNNNNNNNNNNNNNNNNNNNNNNNNNNNNNNNNNNNNNNNNNNNNNNNNNNNNNNNNNNNNNNNNNNNNNNNNNNNNNNNNNNNNNNNNNNNNNNNNNNNNNNNNNNNNNNNNNNNNNNNNNNNNNNNNNNNNNNNNNNNNNNNNNNNNNNNNNNNNNNNNNNNNNNNNNNNNNNNNNNNNNNNNNNNNNNNNNNNNNNNNNNNNNNNNNNNNNNNNNNNNNNNNNNNNNNNNNNNNNNNNNNNNNNNNNNNNNNNNNNNNNNNNNNNNNNNNNNNNNNNNNNNNNNNNNNNNNNNNNNNNNNNNNNNNNNNNNNNNNNNNNNNNNNNNNNNNNNNNNNNNNNNNNNNNNNNNNNNNNNNNNNNNNNNNNNNNNNNNNNNNNNNNNNNNNNNNNNNNNNNNNNNNNNNNNNNNNNNNNNNNNNNNNNNNNNNNNNNNNNNNNNNNNNNNNNNNNNNNNNNNNNNNNNNNNNNNNNNNNNNNNNNNNNNNNNNNNNNNNNNNNNNNNNNNNNNNNNNNNNNNNNNNNNNNNNNNNNNNNNNNNNNNNNNNNNNNNNNNNNNNNNNNNNNNNNNNNNNNNNNNNNNNNNNNNNNNNNNNNNNNNNNNNNNNNNNNNNNNNNNNNNNNNNNNNNNNNNNNNNNNNNNNNNNNNNNNNNNNNNNNNNNNNNNNNNNNNNNNNNNNNNNNNNNNNNNNNNNNNNNNNNNNNNNNNNNNNNNNNNNNNNNNNNNNNNNNNNNNNNNNNNNNNNNNNNNNNNNNNNNNNNNNNNNNNNNNNNNNNNNNNNNNNNNNNNNNNNNNNNNNNNNNNNNNNNNNNNNNNNNNNNNNNNNNNNNNNNNNNNNNNNNNNNNNNNNNNNNNNNNNNNNNNNNNNNNNNNNNNNNNNNNNNNNNNNNNNNNNNNNNNNNNNNNNNNNNNNNNNNNNNNNNNNNNNNNNNNNNNNNNNNNNNNNNNNNNNNNNNNNNNNNNNNNNNNNNNNNNNNNNNNNNNNNNNNNNNNNNNNNNNNNNNNNNNNNNNNNNNNNNNNNNNNNNNNNNNNNNNNNNNNNNNNNNNNNNNNNNNNNNNNNNNNNNNNNNNNNNNNNNNNNNNNNNNNNNNNNNNNNNNNNNNNNNNNNNNNNNNNNNNNNNNNNNNNNNNNNNNNNNNNNNNNNNNNNNNNNNNNNNNNNNNNNNNNNNNNNNNNNNNNNNNNNNNNNNNNNNNNNNNNNNNNNNNNNNNNNNNNNNNNNNNNNNNNNNNNNNNNNNNNACUCAAACUUGCUCCUCUUGAAUCCCUUCUUCCUAGUGGGACCUCCCAGUUCGGCCCUCCAGUCUGAAAUAUUAUGCAACAAUUGACAGUCAGCACAUGUUAGAAAUUUAGGCUUUUGUCACACGCCAUGCAACUUACAAAAAAAGCUAAAAUUUGUAGAAGCACUUACCAGAACAGUUGAGUCUCUAGCAGCAAGAGCCAAAAUGUCAGCACAAGACACAGUGCUGGGGCACUCCUUCUCCAAUGCAGACUUGAUUUCGUCAAUCACUUCGAACCCUCGCGCUGAAUUCUGGUUCGGGACAGACAUCUUUUCGGUGAUUACGUUCUGGCUGCUGUCCAGCAGAAUUGAUGCAUCACAACCCUGCAAAAUAGGUAGCAAGUAGCAACACAAUCUUAAGUACCUCAUUCACAUAGAUGUACGUGUAACUAGAAGCAACUGAGACACUUUUUGUGAUCGUAUACCUUCACGAAACAGUCAUGGAAAUGCAGCCUGAGCAAAGAAGCUGCCAUUCGGGUUUCCCUUGCAACGGCUUUCGCAACAACGGACUUGACAAUCUCUUUGGCUCUGGGGCAGGAGCGGUCAUAAAACUGUGGGUAGAGAUACCCACCAGGAGUUUUGUGACAGAAACAUAGUGGAGAAAAUGCAAGAAGAGAAAGAGCUAGAAGGAAGCUCAAAGAGUUGGCCAUAUAAUAAUGUGGUUUCUUGGAGAAGAAGACUUGAAAUUUGAAGACUUUGGUUUGAUGAAUCCUUUGGUUGGAUUGAUGAAAUUUAUAGAGGAGACUUCGUUUUUUUUUUGGGGGGGGGGGAGAGGGAGAGAGAGAGAGAGAGAGUGAGAGAGAAGCUGCAUGGAGUUGGUAGCUUACUAUUGCAAGCUGCUACACCAGUAGACAGGAUCAAAAGAGAAGGUUGGAGUUGGUAGCUUUCAUGCUUUUGAGCAGAUAACUAAAUCGUAAUUAUGGUAACUUCGUUUCUAAUUAAGAUGAUAAUUAGUUAGAAGGUCUUAUCUUGUUCUAGAGGAACAAAUCUUUUUUACUCACAAUGCAAAACUGCCAGACAGAGAAAAUAUAUUAGUACAAUGAACCUUAUAGAAAUUUAUUAGUACAAUGGACCUUGCAUCCUUAGUACAAUAUUUUGGUACACUAAUUGAUUGCAAGACCAUCAGAUCUUGAAAAAAUUUCAACGUAAUACUUGAAUACAAUCACGUGGUAUAAUUAAUCUACGUGUCACAAUAUAAACUAACCACGGUUCUUUAGAGUUGAAUGGCUACAGUGUCAAUCAAAUAUUCAUGAUACCGUAAUACAUGAACUGGUUAUACCACACGGUAUUUUAUAUUUAGAAUCCGAAAUCCAACUAGAUUGACAUGUAAUCAUUAUAAAGAAACAUUAAAGCCUCUUUCACUUCAUUAGGAGAUUGGCAUCUUUUAUAUUUUCAAAAUGAGAAUACUUCAAUAUUGGUGUUCGAUCACAUCAUUCAUAAGUAUUCUGAGCAAAAACGAGGAACUCCAUGCAUUUAGUUUCACCUGAUCCCGAACUAGUUCCGCCUGUGUAAAAAAUGCCCAAGUUCCGGCUUCCCGAAUAUGCUUGUAUCAAGGGGGGGAAAAAAAAAACCUAGUAUACAUGUCUUGUAUUAUUGUUUGCUUGCCUUCCUUACUAAUUCAUGAGUUCACAUUGAUUCCAUUAGUUGGUUAAUCAUUAAAUUUUUCCGUUAAUCAUGAAGCUUAUAUGCUCGUGGCUUUUUGACUUGAGGAUUAAUCCAAAGAAUACAGUGACAUAUUAGAAAAGUUGGUUAAUCCAAAGAAUAUGAUAACGGGAAUAUUAGGUUAAUCUGGACGGUCCAAUCUAUAAUAAAGAUAUCGUAGGCUGGGUAGGAGAACUACUUCUAUAAGCAUCCUCCCUAACAUUGCACUUGACAUAUUAACGAACAAGCGUAUGAGUAUUUGGUCUAGUCGCAUUCAAUUUUUACUUUGUUAAAGAAGAUUCUAAUUUCAAAGCUCAUAAACGAUAAUCGUUAAUUAAAAAAAAACAUGAUAUGAAAUGAAUUCGUUUGAAUCACAAUAUCACCGUGCAAUGAAAAUUUGAUCUCGUUGAAAGACAAACAUUUUGCGGUGAAACUUCUAAACCUUUGUGUGUUAUACAGGUACAAAUUGCACCAUAUCUUCUUUCAUUGCAGGAUCUAUUUGUUCCUAAGAAUUCGAGUCUAAGAAAAAAUGUUCUAGGACAAUGCAGGGAAAUUGCCGUCUUAACAAUCAGAAAAAAUCAUUAUGAUUGCCCUUAUAAAACCUAUACGUUUACAUAAGGAAUGGUGCCCAACAUGCUCCAGUUCCCCCGGGGCUUAUGGUUGAGCCUCUAGUCCGCUUUUCUUUUUAAGAAAGCAAAGAGUACUCAUCAUAAGAAUAUUGUUGAUUAAAUAAUGAGUUCGUUUGGAAGUGCUUUUAAAAUGACUAAAAACACAUUUAAUGAAAAUGUUUUUAGGUUCGAAAAGCACUUAAAGUGCUUCAUUCACUUACAUUUUUAGUAAGGAUUGGUCCCCAAAUCAUUUUAACUAAAAAUGUUUUCAGUUAUUUAAAAAACACUUUCAAACGAGCAUGAUAUUAUAUUUUGGCCACAUAUGUAGUUUAAAUUCAUUAGCCUCUCAUGCGCAUAAAUCAUAAGGCAACCAAUCAUUAGUCAUUUGCUAUGUCCAAGGCGUACAACAUUAAUGCUAGUGAUGUAUACUUACACUAUGUUUGGAUGGAGAAUUUCUAAAUUUUCAUAGAAUUCUAAAUGACGGGAAUUACAAUUCCCAGUAAUUGAAAUCAUGUUAAUUGAAAUUUCAGUGUUUGGAUGUUGGAUACAUGGAAAUUGCAAAAUGAAGGGAAUUACAAUUUUCAUUGUUUGGAUAUUCCCUAGAAUUUGUAUUCCAUAGAAGAAUACAAAUUUGAAAAAAGAAAAAUGUUAAACUGUUAACAAAGUCAUCAAUGAUAAAGGUCAUCAAACCCCCAAGAUUGGGGCUGCCAAACCCGCACUAAAGGGAAAACUGUCUAAAUUUUCCAGCAAUUAAGAACUUAUCAAAGGUUUGCAAUAAUAUUUCAUUGGAAAAAAAUGUUUGCAAUAAUAUGAUAAAAGUUGAUUGAAGUAGGAAAAUCCCUGUAAAGCACACUUGCAAAUAUCAACCAACAUUCGUGACAUGCAAGACUUUUAUUCUAACUAAUGUCUUACUGAAAAACACUAAAAUGAGAAACAUAAUGAAAACAAUCUUAUGCGCCUUGUGAAGUAAGCAAUAAUACCAUAUUCUUUUUCUUCUCAAUUGGGAGAGUCUUCAACAUGAGAAAUUGCUUGUCAUUUUCGAUCAACCAAGCACAUGCUUUGAUUUGUUCUUCUUCACUGAGAUCUAGUAUUGCAUUUACUUCAUCAUAUACCUCUGUUGGAUCAAGUUUCUUUGUGUCUGCAGAAAUAUAGUCUUGAAAUGAUGAAGCCAUCUUGGCAAGUGAAUCUGCAAUCACAUCUUUAGGCGUGGUUGAUUUUCUUUUUGUAUGAGGCACAUCAACAAAACUUGCUGCCUUUCUCUUGCUUUGAGUCUUUUGACCAUUGGUUGAACUAGGUGAAAUCUCAUUAAUAAUUUCAAUAUCUUCUAAACCUUGUGCAUCACCAACCAAAUCUACAUGAUCAGGUUCAUUAUGUGGAGGAGUCAUAAUCUCCACGGCUUCUACACCUGUUUCAGCACCCUCACCCGUCGCUCUAUCUUUGCCACAUAAAUCCACUAUAUCAUCCCAAUUUGGAAUGACCUUCCAACGAAAGCUUUUAGCACCAACAUGUGACUACCAAUCAAAACAUAAAAGAUCAAAAAGCAACAAUUAAAAGAAUUUCACACACAAAAGAAAAAUAAUGAAUUUGUUACCUUCACGUACUCUUGCCAGGCAGGGUCUUCAUCUACACUUAUCAUCUUUUUGGUUGCAUCCCAAUUAAAUCCACUUUGACUUAGUAUAUCACUCACUAUUGCAUAAAACUUUUUCCAAGACUUCACACGAUUUCGAAUGUUAUCUGCAAUGCCAAUGUAUCACGAAAUGCUGUCCAUUCGACUGUAGCUUGAACAGAUGUAAUCCCAUCAGAGUUAUUUUCAUUUUCCUCUCUUGUUGAACGAUUUAACAACUCUGAGUCGACAGAUGCUAAAAAUUGUAAAUCUUGAGCUUCUAAAACUGGAUCAGUAGCUUGCUCGGUUCUAAUAAAAUUAUGUAAGACACAACAUGCAUUUAUAAUCCUAACUUGUGUUUUAAUGUCGAAAAAGGAUGGUGUGCGUAAUAUGCUCCAUCUCUUUUUUAACAAUCCAAAUGCCCUCUCAAUAACAUUCCUUGCCCUUGAAUGACGCAAAUUAUAUAGUUCUUUGUAGUUUUCAGGUCGACGGUUUCCAACCCAUUCUUUCAAGUGAUAUCUAGUUCCACGGUAAGGUGCUAAAAACCCGGGUCCAUUAGUAUAGCCAGCGUCCACAAGAUAAUAUUUAUCUACAAUAAAAAAUUUAGAGAACAAAUUUAGAUAUAUUUUUAAGUUUUUUCUUUCUAAUAUAAAGCUAAUUGGUAUCAUACAUUACCAUUUGGAACAUGAAACCGGUUACUCCUAUGUAAAGCAUCACGCAAAACACGAGCAUCAGAUGCAGAGCCUUCCCAUCCAGGUAACACAUAAAAAAAUCUUAAAUCUGGACCACAAACUCCUAACAUAUUAGUGGAUAUAUCACCCUUUCUAUCUCGAUAUCUUGGUCUUUCCUCAGCCGUUAUUGUUACUGGUAUGAGAGUUCCAUCAAGUGCUCCAAGACAAUUCUAAAAAAAAUGUCAUACAAAUGAAAAAAGAAAAGAAAAGAUAAGUCUAAAAAGCUAAUGAAGAUAUCAAACGAAGACAUUUAUUUGGUAUAGUUGUUGAUUGAUUACCUCAAACCACCGCCACUUCUCUCUUUCAGAAUUGCCAAUAACACAUGGCUGAUAUUUCACAUAUUCUUGAAUAACACAUGGCUGAUAUUUCACAUAUUCUUGACUUAUUUUCAUCAUUGCAUGCAACACAUUGUGAAAUUGCCGACUAAUUGUUUCCUUGGAACGAUAAUAAUGAAAACCGAUGACUCUAAACUUCAAGUUGUGGGCAAGUAUAUUCAAAAAAAUUGCAACAGAUUCUUCAAUGGACACAUUUCUCGUGCGAACUAAUCCACCAAUCCCUUGUAAAAUUUCACAUAACUGCUUAAAUGCACUCUUGCUAACUCGUAAUUGUUCAAUGCACGUUGAAUCCUUUCCAUCGAACAAUCGGCCAAGGAAAGAUUGCCUUUCUUGAUCCCAAUCAUUUGAAGGUUCUUUGAGAAGAACACUCGUACUAUACCAAUGCAUGACCAUGACAAUAACAUAUAUAAUUGUGCUGACAAUAAUUUUCCUUUUUUUCCUAUUUUCCUCUUCAUUUAUAGCACGCUUUCACUUUAACCUCAUUAGCAUGUCUACAAUAUGAGUAUUUUCCAUACCUGUUUGAAUGUAUGAACAAAGAUAUAUUGUGAUAUAUGAAUGUAAACACACAAGGUUUUUUAGGCAAGAAUGAGGUGAUGCAACCAAAAAAACAAAUGAACUAACACCAAAGGCACAACAUUUGAUCAAUCUUGGCUAUUGUUAAUGUGAUCAUCGUAAACUUAUAUAUUUGAUAUAGAUGGGAUCUCUGAAUCCCAGUAGGACUAUACCAAUCCAACACUUAUUUAUAUUGCUAAAUGCAGCAAUGAAAGUCACGACUUUAAUCAUACUAGCAUCUGUAUUUUAGUUUUUUGACAGUUAACCUUCAAAAGCACAAUAUCUAUAACAAGGAACUAACACCAAAGGCCAUCAAAAACUAAAAAUGGGCUCAAUUGAUGGUGGUCAAAAACCAUGUGUAUGGUCAUCUCCCCAAAGAGGAUGUAAAAUUGACAUAAGAAAGCAGAUCUUCUACAACAGAUCGUUGAAUAUGAAGAAUAUUGUUGCAGAAGGAUUUGAUAUGGAUUACACAUUGGCACAGUACAAGCCAGAAAUCUUCGAGUCUCUUACAUACAAUGGAACUAUCUAGAAGUUGGUGUACGAUUAAGGAUACCCUCGUGAGGCUUGUCUAUUCUGUCUCUUACAUUUCAAGAAGAAAUUGAUAUUGCUAACAUAUCAGAUAUUCAAUUAAUCUGGUUUAAUAUUGCAAUUAAUCCAGUAGUGUUAGUGCUUUUUAAUUUCAACACUUAGCAUACAUCAUUUACUACCAUUUUAAAUUAUGAGCAAAUCAUUCCACCCUUCCUAGAUAAGGUUACAGAGCAAAUAGACAAUUCAAUCGGAGAAAUAAAACAUAAUAAGAUCACACCCAAAUGGCAAUUCAAUCGGACAAUUCACCCUUCCUAGAUAAGAUAGCACCCAAAAAUACAUGAUGCUUACAGUAAUAAGAUCGCAGCCUAAAAUACAUGAUCGCACCCAGAUAGGGAUGGAAUGAAACCAGAAAUACAUGAUGCUUACAGGAAGAUCGUACCCAAAAAGCUAAAAAUAAUUCAAGAUAGAAGAGAGUAGAGACGCUGACCUAGAACAAAGGAAGAAGAUGAUUCCACAAUCGAAAAUCCCUUCGAAGAUUGGAGAGUUAACAGAGUGAAGAUUGUGCAGCCCUUUUGUUGUGAAAUUUGGCGGUAGAUAUCCGAGUUUGGCGCCCUAAUCCUGAAGUUUGGCGCGCACAAAAUCUCCCCGCGGAUGAAUUCGGGAUUCUCAUCGUUGUUGGAAUUGUGAAAUUACACCUCUUUAGGCGGAAAUUAAACUCGGAAUUCUUCAUCCCUAAUUUCCACCUUUUUUUCCCGUAGAAUUUGCCGUUUCUCGCGCUGCAAGGUUCCCAAACGAGGGAAAACUGCUUUCCCAUCCUAAAUUCCCUAGUUUAAGUCAAAUUCUGUUUUAUUUUACCACAUCCAAAUGGAGUGUUACAGUUUCUGAACAAGCAGAUAGAAUUUGUCAUGCCCGACAUGCUUCUAUCCCACGCUGCAUGUGAUCAAGCGUAAAUAUUAAACAUAUAACUGAGGACAUACCAAUUGAGCCUAUGAUGACAAAUUAGAAUUAAAAAACCAUCAAAGAUAUUGAAGCCAAAGAAAUAAGGCCUACCUUCUGUUCAACUCUAGUCUUGUAAAUAAACCCUCCACAACAAAACAAUGUCGAUGAAGCAGUGAAUCUGAUCCGAGACAGAUUGCUUAAACAUCAACUUUAGCUAUAAAAAUAAGGCUAUACUGGAUUGAUAUAUAAGGAUGUGUAUGAUAGAUUUGUUUGGGUUAAUAUUUAACACUGGACUUAAUGUAUUGAGGCCCAAAGAUGUCACAACGGAAUGUGGACUUGCCCGAAGCCCAUCAAUAAAGCCUGAAAUAAAGUGAAGCCUUCUCAGCCAAGGUGCUAGGAUUAAAAGCACACCACAAAGUAGCAUACAAAUGUCCUAUUGAUUUUCCUUAUUAACACUAAGAUUUGUCAAUUGUAGCAUAUGAAAAUAAGAGUCUUUCCCAUAGAAGAUUGUUUUAUCUAACUCCUUAAUAUGUCACAAAAAUUGGGCUGAUGUCCCUACUGACCAGCCACCGAAAAAUAAUUAUUAGACUGACUUACACUUAUCUAAAGUCUACAAAAUUUUAUAUGCAGACACUAGACACAGAGAGAUACACUCGUACAAAGUUUUGGGAUUUUUGGAGUUGAUUUUCUAUUUAAAUUAAAUCAAACAAAAAUAGAACAGAAACAGAUUUUUAAGUAGUUCACAAAUUAAUAAAAACGAGUUAGGGGAAUUGCUAUCCACCACAAAAUAAUCAUGCAAACAUGUUAUGUUUCAUUCAAAUUUCUUUUAUUUCUGGAUGAAGAUACUCAAGUUGGCUCAAUGUUAAAACUCAACCUAUUACUCUUUCUUAUGUAGUAUGUUAAGAGAAUGGCGUUUUCAACUUAACUUAGUCCCUAGCAUGCAAUCGAGAAUGACGUGUUCAUAGAUUUAACAAGUAGAAAUCAUUAAGAACAAAAAGAGUUUGAGUCAUCACAAGGCAUCGUAAGUACUGGCGUUGUCUUACAUAUCAUAGAAAUUAGUUCACACGUUAAUCGCAAUUAACAAGUACUACUUUAUAACAUAUGUAGGUCCUCAUUCGACAAGGGCAAGCACACACAUAUUCAUAGCAUUAGAAUCCUAGAUAUGCUUACUAAGUAUGCAUCCAUAGAAAACAAAUAAAGAAUUCAUCAAUGAGACAAGUAGUGAACCGAUUUUCAUCCAUUCAUAAAAGUAAUUCAAACAAAAUGUCAUAACAAACUUACAAUCAUAUUCGGGGCUUGAAAACAACCCCUAACUACUAAAAAUUUAGUUACACACAAUUCCUAAGUUAAAACAAAAGAUAGACACGAGUUUGAGAAGAUAGAACCGAAAGAAAUCGACCGAGGCCUCCUCCUUCCUUUCCUUCAUUCCCCAACGUUGCUACCUUGCCUUUUCCUUCUGUUCUAUAUUUUUUUUCUCCUUAACUCACCCACUAAUAGCCAUUUAGUGAUGACAAUAAGUGAGAGGAAAUGGUAAAACAAUUGUAACUCUUUGGGUAGCAUUUAUGCCAAUUACUCCCUCUUAAUCCUCAUCUUUAAUUUCACUCCCUUUUAUAUUUGAAUAAGUGUCAGCUAACUUGUUCUUGGCUGCAUCAGUUUUGGCUGCUAGAUUUAUUAUGUUUACUGCUUUCAUUGCAAUUACAAACUGCUCGGCCUCUUGGUAACCUUUCCGUGUUAAAACGACCAUAACUUCUUCUAGAAAAAUGAUAUUAACAAUCCGUGAAAUACUCCAGAAAAUAGACAUCCGUAGCUUUCCAAGCAUAUAAGGCUCAUUCUCUAAUUAAUUCUGAGCUGUUUGCAAAUUGCUUCCAAAGUCAGCUGAUCUACACAUGCAGUUUUGACGAAUUUGUUACUUAAAAUCCCACUUGUGUUAUUUUUCCUUUCUUUGCUUGACAAAUCCCACAAAACACAAAAACAAAGUAAAUAGCUCAAAAAUAUAAGGAACUAACUAAGAAAAGACAAAUGAAUUUGAUGUAAAAUAUAUAAAAAUAUGAGUUUAUCACAAGGCAUAAGCCAUGUGCCUAUGACUGAAGUGACAAAUGACAGAGACCAGCUCACUAUCAGCCAAAAAGCACUUUUUGAUGGCAUAAAGGUGUAAAUACAAGAUGACUCACUACCCCUAAGGACCUUCGGCCAAGAACAAAGCUAAAGCAGUCGGGCCAAAUCGCUUAUAAAAUGGGAAAGAGACAUCAGAGACAAGGACACUCAACCAAUCAAACAAACAACAUACAAACUCUGCUCUCAAGCUAGAUUUGCAUCCAGAAAGCUAAAACUCACCUAGAUUCAGUCCUUUUAGCAAUAAUUCCCUUAGAAAAGUCAUCUUUUGUCUAGUGUAAAAGCUCUGCUACCUUCCCUAGUGUUGUAGUAUCGAUCCCUUUGUAUAAAACCUAUUUACCAUCCAUCCUUCUAGCAUACAACCUCUGUAAAUUCAAAGAGAAGUGGCUGCAAGAAGUUCAAUCUUGCCCGACAAGGUGAAAUCUUGCCCGAGUCUCUUUGUUUGUACUUUAGCUUAAUAGAUCUGUCGCUUAAAUGUACUUUUCAGCAUGUAUUCAAGUUUUUUUCCAACAGUUUUCUACCUAAUAGUCCUAUUUGCAAUCGGAUCUGAUUAAUUUAAUAGACUUCUUUUUAUUAAGAACAAACUGAGAUCGAGGAAAUGGUGCAAAAGGCCUUGAACUUCCUUAAUUUCAAACAUACAAGAUUAUGAACUAAAAGUCAUUGUUUACAAGGCAAGAAAAAGAACUCAAUGCAAACAUAACCCAUCUGUGACAAUCCUUUGAUAACAAGAAGUUUAAGUAACUUGGGGUGCAAGUAAUCGACUUAUAACACACUUAUUCUACAUCGGUUAUACUUAGAUAGCGGUGACACGUCUAGCACAUUGUUAGUUUUAAUUACGAGCCUCAAGGCCUACACCUAAGGCCCCACUAAGGCACCUUUCAAAUUAACUUUAAACUUAUCUUGCAGCAUAUCAAACAGUAAGAGCAUGCCCGACUACAAAACCUAAAGUGCCAUCCACCAUUGGGGAGCUGUGUGAGGGGUCAUCCUGUUUGCCUUGAACAAGACCUUUUCUCCACCGUCCUCGCAAAGUGAGGAACCUUGUGUUAAAGUCCCACAUCGGUGGGUGCAAGAAAACCAAAUGGGUUUAAAUAUGAUCACCUCACUCUAACUAAUACCGAUGUCUUUUGUGAUAAAACCCCACACUUGACGGAUUUGGCAGUGGUAAAGUUAAGGACAAUAUCAGUGUCGUUAGAGUGAGGCGGGCCCGACGAUAAUCCAACAUGGUAUCAGAGCCCACGGUUCGGGCCCGUGCAAGCCAAUGAGCUUGUCACAAAGAAGGAAACAAAUAUGAACUCUUAACAUAGAGACGACCACUGAGUUCCAUUGAAAAUAAGUGGCCCCAACAUGAGCCGACCUCUGAGUUUCAAUUACCUGUAUGGAUCUCCAUGUGUGAAACACUAAAUGGGGUUACAAAUGAGGGGGAGUGUUAAAGUCCCACAUCGGUGGGUGCAAGAAAACCAAAAGGGUUUAAAUAUGAUUACCCCACUCUAACUAAUACUAAGGCCUUUUGUAGUAAAACCCCACACCUGACAAAUUUGGCAGGUGGUAAAGUUAGGAACAAUAUCAGUGUUGUUAGAGUGGGGCGGCUCCGGCGAUCCAAAAAUCCAACACCUUGUUGGCUUUGGAUCACCCUUUUAAUAUGUUUGUUGCCAUUCAAUGCCUAUACAAAAUAUGAUGCAGGUGUUCACAUCACAUGUUUUAGUUAUCAAAUUUUAGCAUGGCGAUAAAUAUUUGUAGUAUGGAUAUUUUUCAGUAGGAACUGGCUUACUUGCAGGAUAACACUCCAAAUGUAGCCCAUCCCGUUGUAACCUCUCCACUUUGUGCCUGCCUAUAUGUUCUAUGAUUGAGCAAACCAAGCUCUUUUAGUUGAUAUUAUUACAAACCACUAUUGGUAUCAAUUUUCAAAACAUUUACCUAAUCACACUACUACAAAAAAGACUAUCACUGACGGUGGAAAAACCGACUAGAAACCCCAAUUACUGUCUUAUUUUUACCAAAAAUCUGACAUCAAAUCGUGCAAUGUCGGAUUGGAGAACCGAUGUUGUUGCUAGCGUCACGAAAAGGGUAUUGACGUUGGUUAAUCCCCUUAAUCCGCCACCAAGAAGCAAAAUAAUAUAAAAUAAAAAAGAACAACAGCGUCGGUUAAAACCGACACUAAGUCUCUCCAUUCAUUUCCUCGUGUAGAACAAGUGGGAAUUUUCCCGCCUAAUAUUUCAAAUUAUUCGACCAAUGCCGUCGGCUAAAAGCGACAACAUACUAGUUUAAAAAAAAAUGUUUAACCCAAAGAAAAAAAAUAACCAGCUAUUUUGUUUUUGUGUUAUCUCAUAUAACAUUUUAGGAUUUUAAUAAAUAAAAUUUAACUUGAAUAAAAUAUGUAAUAAAAAACAGAAAUAUAAUUUUAUUAUAAAAUAUCAUCACAUACUAAUUGAAAUAUAGUCUAAUUAAUACUUAAAAUACAUGAAAUAAUUAAUAUAUUUAUUCCAAGUCAUCAUCUGUUAGGUUGUCAUCAGUAUUGGCAUAAUUAAUGAACUCAGUAGGUAACGGUAAUGAUUCAUGAAAAUGAGUCUCUUCCACGCCAACCCUUGUAACAAAAUUUUCAUUGUCAAGUAUCCGAUCAUCCAAAUUUGCAUCACUAUCCUCUAAUACGUCAAACAAAUCCCUCAGAUGCGUUUGAACAACUAAAUGCCAAUCGUUUUCAAUUGUGUCCUCGAUGUAAAAUACUUGUAAUGCUUGUGAUGCUAAUAUGAAAGGAUCCUCUUUAAAUCCCAAUCGAUUGAAGUUCACCAUAGCAAAUCCAUAUUGAUCAGUCUUCAUUCCUUGUUGACUUUCACUGACACACCCGGACCUAGAUCGAGGCAUGCUGGUCGUCACGUGAGGGCGACGUAGCCAUGUGCACAACGCGGAAGCAAUAAAGAUAUAAAGAAAUGCGAAUAAAUAAAAACCAACUAACUAGGGCACUAGAUAAGAUAAGGUGCAAGUGCGAUAUUAAGUGUGAGUUCAUAAUCAGAGCAUGAGUAGCCUAAAUGCAGUUCAGCAGGACAAAUACUAAUUAUGCAACACCAAAGAUAAUCCUACAUUAGUGAUAAUCUGUCAGAGCUGCCGUGAAUUCCUCGUAAGCCACCGACAAGCACUCCUAACUAGAACCUGGAGGGGUGCAAAACAGAAAGUGUGAGUGGGCAAAAAUAAAGCUUUUCAAAACCAUUUCAUUUAUCAAAAGUUCUACCCCUUGCCGUAAAACCUAUAUAAUUUCCCAAAAAAAAGAAUAAAUAUAUACAUAUCUCAAAACCAUGCUUAGAAAACGAUAUUCAUAAGUAUGUCAUGCCAAUAAUCUCAAAAUAACUGAAUAAGUAACUCAGGUGAAAUAACAUAUCAGCCGGAUCCACCUAAAGUGGCAUGUACGGCUGAAUCUAUAUCUCAACAAGUAUGCCUGCACACGAAUCGAAACCACCUAAAGUGGUUUGUACGACAUGACUGGGUGUAAAUAAAUACGCUCUAGUGCUACGAUCAUGUGAAGACUGUGCGAAUAAUCACGGGUCACCUACGAGUCAAAACCACCUAUAGUGGUCUGUACGACAGGAUUGUGCACCUAACUUGGAUCCAAGGUGAGUGUAUGGUACGGAAGGUGAACAUCACGUGAAGGCAUGUGCCCUAGCCACGGGUAGGAGCACUAACACUGGGGUGUAGGUUUAUGAACUCUCAACACAUCUCACAUAAUCAUCAAUUCACAUAUAAACAAUUUACAACUUACCUGGUACUUACCUGAGUGUCCACAGCGUCAAAUCAUAUUUAUGCAUACUAUACUAAUUCAUAAUCUAAGCAUAAAUCAAUAGGCAUGGCAUUUCAAAACAUAAUUUCAUUUAAACGCAUUUUUUGGGAAAAAUACCAAGUAUAUAAGUAUAUUGAAAACCAAAAGCCCACUCACUGAUAUGUGGAAGGGUAGUAACCCCCGAGCCUUGCUUGACUGCGCUCGUCCUCAGGAUAGGUCUCAACUAUAUGCAAAACAACUAUAUAAACGUUAUUUUAAAGCACAUAAAAAAACUAGGUAAUAACUUCUCAUACAUAGCUCAAUUAGGGUAUUUGAAUAUACUACCAUGACCUACUCAAUCUCAGGAACACCCAUAUUUUUAAAAAAAAUUCCCGAGCACCCACGCGCCCUCACGCACCGGCCAAGGCACGGCCAGACGUUCGGCUCACGCUCAGGCACGUGCCUGGCACACUGACAGAUUCCCUAACGGCAUUAGGGAAUAUUUCGUUAAAAAUCAGUAUAUACCGUUAAAGAUACCUGACGCCGUUAGCAUAUUCCGUCAACUUUGAUAGAAUAUUCUCUUCCUUCUUCAUUGGCUCGCCAGAGUCCGAUUUCGGUGCUGCUGCUAUCGCCGGAAACUGGAAAAAUCUUAGAACUUCAAUAUCUCAUCCAUUUCUCAACCAAAAUCCAUGAAAUUUUCACCAAAAUGAAGCUUAGGAUGAGAGGAACGAUUCCUUACCACUUGUAGGACCUAAAACCUGCAAAAAUCUCAUCGGGAAAACCUCGAUAUUCCUGCCACCACUACAACUUCGCGAACUGGGAUUUCUCGACGUCCAAAACCCUUCAAAACUCUUCUAAAAGCUUCGUGAAGACGAUCUAAGACUUCCAAAAAGCUUAAAACUUCAAGAAACACUCACGAUCACGUCGAGAUCACUGUGCACUUCCUCGGAACUUCUUGGUUCUUAAAUUCCCGACGUCCUCACGUCCAACCAACGCUAUGGUUCGACUUUUAGUCUUGCAAGGAUUCCAAAAACACCAACUACAACCUCGAUCUGCGACUGAUUGAGGCUGGAUGGUCAAUGGCCGUACGAUUGUAAGGACAAAUAGAGAGAUUUCGACGAAGAGUGAGAGAAAGGGUUGCAUGUGUGAGUAUGUGUGUGUCCGGAUUGGGCACCCAUAAAAAAAACUUAAGUCCUAAAUGAGCCCAAAGAUUUAGCAUAAGGAUUUUAAAUGGUCAAAAUAUUAAGCUCAAACACACAACACAACUCAACGUUCAAGGGUAAAAUCGACAUUUCACACUAGCGAGGAUCGAAUAAAUUAUGUUUCAAGACAAGUUGUCACAUUCAUUAUUAACCCAUUCACACUUAAAUAACAUCACAGCUCGACCCCUACCUUUUGCAUCAGUAUGACCACAAUAUUUAACCUCGAAAAUAUCUACAACUCUGCCAUAACAAUUCACUUGCCCAAUUGCACCAGGAACAUUUGCAGGUACAAAGACACCACAAUUUUGAUUCUUAUGCUCAUCAUCCACAAAUUUUAUGCAAAAUCUGAACCCAUGAACAAUGUGACUUUUAUAUCUACUCACAACCUUACUAGGAUAAUUAUCUAGCCAAUGCAAGUCUUGAGAUAUCAACGUGUUAUUAGGAUGACAUCUUGAAUUCAUUUGUAAUACGAAUGAAGAUAAAAGUUGACAUGAUAACUAUAAACAUGUUAUAAUUAAAAUGUAAAAAUAUAAAUAAAUAAUGUGAUUGUUAUAUCAACUCACAUGUUGCUUGAACGAUUCUGUAAAUUCUUUCUUGCUUAGCUCCUUAAUUUGUGGCAUAGUUAACCUUUCUCGAUGAUGUUUAGUUUUCAGGAAUUCCUCAUGUUGCCUGGGCAAUUAUGUCCAAAUUUAGAUAAUUAAUUUUUCAAAGUUAAGAAAACCAAUAAAACAUUAAGACGUAUGAUUAAACGUUCUUACCUUCUAAAUGGGUUAACUUCACCACAAUUAUUUAGAAUGUAUAUAUGACACUUAUCAAGAACAUUUAGAUCGAGCUCCACAUUUUCUCCUGAACCCAUAUAACAUUCUUUGGAGUCAAAAAUUGAUAAUCCACCAGAUACUCCAUGUCCAAUACCAUCUUCAUUUCGGCCUCUACAGGUGCGACGAGACUCGACAUCUCUAAGAUACAUCGAACAGAAGGACAAGCACUCGUCCACCAAAUAUGCUUAAGCUAUAGAACAUUCAGGACGACCCUUAUUACAAACAAAAUGCUUUAGUAUUUGCAAAUACCUACAAUUAUAAAAUGCAACACAAAUUAUUAUAAUUAAAGUUAUGACUACAAUUGUAAAAAAAUUAUAAAAAAUUUGUUAAUUACCGUUUAAUUGUAUACAUCCAUCUAUAUUGAAUAGACCCUGCAAGAGCUGCUUCAUCUGCCAAGUGAAUUGAGAGGUGCACCAUUAUAUAAAAAAAUGCAGGAGGGAAUAUUUUUUCAAGUUGACAUAAUGUCAAUGCAAUUUUUAAAUUCAAUUGCUUGAAUCCUUCCUCAGACUCAUUCCACACGCCUUUUGUAGUAGUAUCUGUUGAUACACAAAGUCGGAGGUCUUGGAACAACGUAAAUUCGACCGUGAAUCUGCAAGUAAUGUAAAUAACACAAGAUGUAUCGUGGUUCACCCCAAGGUUUGGGCUACGUCCACAUUGAUUAUAUUUCUGAGGGAGAGAGAGUUAUGAGAGUGAGAGCUUUGAGAGGGGGUGAGAGGGCCUAGGAAUUGGCCUCCUUGAAUGCACAAAAUCAGUGAGGACUUUGGUACAACAGAAAAUGUUAAGUUUGUGACCUUCGCUAGAUUGCUCCGGUCAUUAGUAUGGAUAAGUAUGUAAAUGGAUAGAGACAGGGAAACAAACACAAGAUGUACGUGGUUCACUCAGAUUGGCUACGUCCACGGAGUAGAUGAGUUCUCAUUAAUUGUGAAGGGUUUACACAAGUACAUAGGUUCAAACUCUCCUUUAGUGAGUACAAGUGAAUGAUUUAGUACAAAUGACAUUAGGAAAUAUUGUGAGAGAUUGAUCUCUAUUUAUAGAAGAGAGUUUCUAGUUUCAUUCUGACAUUGACACGUGUCGUGUUGUGAUUGGCUUCUGAUGUUGACACGUGUCGCGCUAUGAUUGGCUUCUGAUGUUGACACGUGUCGCGCUAUGAUUGGCUUCUGAUGUUGACACGUGUCACGCUGUGAUUGGCCUCCUGGUUGGAGGGAAACUCUUCUGGGUCCUUGACGGUAUAACGUUGAUCGGUGCACAGUAGUUUCGGGAUUGGUUAAGUAUGGUACAAACAGUAUCAAUCAGCCAAUUACAUUUCACCAGCAAGUUCGACUGCAAGAAGUAUCGCUUUAAUAUACGAUUUAGCACAUUGCAUCCCCAUAACUUGUUCUCUUGAGAUUGGUUAUGUUUCUCCACAGUUUGAAACACGAGAGUUUUAAGAGAGCAAUAUGAGCUUACCGCACAUUUUGUCAAGCAAAAACUGGAUGGGCUCAUAACCCUCCACUGGGAUAAUGAUAUUUAACUUCAUAUGGAGUAUCACGAGCCCUUUCACCUGAAAAUUACAAAUAGGAAUUAAGAAGACGUUGUUGUAAGGGAUAUCAACACCCACUGCAGUAAAGAUACCCUUACAUCUCCAUGCAACGGUUAACAUUGUGGGUGAGGGUGACAAAGUUGGAGGGGGGCUCCCAGUUGCUCCCGACCCUGAUAACUUGACAUCCAGGCCAUUCUCUGGUAAGACCUGCAAAUAUUUAAUCAGACUGAGGACAGAUAAUUCGACCAUUUUAUUUACUUAUAAAUGGUUUUGCUUGCAUCAAAGUGUACGGAAGCCGAGCACCUUAAUAUUAGGUCUUUGCACCAGUGGAAAAGGCAGCAAUAUUGCAGCCAUAGAAAGGGUUACAUGUCACUUCACACAUUUUCGGUACUCAGCUUCCAUGAUAUGACAUUCAAUAUAAGAGGGGGUCUUGAUAUCUUAGCUGUUCAUCUUCAGCAAAAUAAGAUCAAAUAUUCAAAGUUGGCGCAAUAUGUAAUGAUUGCCUCAACAAAUAUUUAACAUUACUUUUUACUGUCAUGAAUUGACAAUGAGUUGAACUGUCGAGAAAGUAAACUUCGAAUUUUCGUUCAAGCUAUUUUAUAUAAUAGUAAAUGAGCAAGCUUAAAACUUUUGAAAAUAACGUGAGGAUAUAAUGUGUAAAAGGUGAAUUGGUGAUAAGUUGUUAUUCAAAAUUAAGAGUUAAAUUCAAGAUAUUGUAUGAGACUCACUUAUGUUUUUAUUUCCCAUAUAAUUGUUAUAUAUGUCAGUGUCCAUUUAAAGAUUAUGUAUGCAAAAUAAUCAAUCCAAUUAAAGGUCACUUCAUCUUAUUUUAAAAUGUAUAUAAUAAAAUUAUGUUAAAUUCAAAAAAUUUCAUUGUUAAAAAUCUAGUGGCCGAGAAAUAUAACAGUUGGAAAUCCAACGGUCCAGAACAUCCCACGUCGCCCCUCUCAGACGAGUGUGAGGGUGUCUGCCAAAAAAUAUAAAAGACGUCGCUGACGUCAAAUGGGGGGGGUGGUUGGGCCCGCUGAACAGCCCCACUGUUUUUCUGGAGUGGGAGGAUUGAAUCACUCAAUUGCAAGGGCAAUCGAAAGAGGUGGAGUUGCUCCAACUACUCUACCAAAAAAGGGUAGAGAAAUUUUCCAAAAGUAAAAGAAGAAAAAAGAGAAAAGUGAAAAUUGAUGACAACAACAAACAAGUGUUAAAAAUUGGAAGAAAAGGGAAAAAGGAAAAAAAACAACCCAAAAAGAUAAAGCCACAAGAAACCAUAUUCCAAAAUGCAAAUUCCAUUCCAUUUAUAUUUUCCCAAAUUCCUAAAACGAAAAAAAAGCAAAAAAGCAUUGGAAAUUCCAAAAAACAAAAGCAAAAAGGCCUCCAAACACUCCCACACAGAGAGAAGCAGCACCUCUCAACCUCGAGCUCCGCGCUACGAUUCUCUGUAGAAGAACACAAUCGAACAGAAGAAUUUCGACCAAAGCUUCAAAUUUUCCCAUUAAUUUCACAAAAUUUGAGCGCCAAAAUCCAUCGGAGCUUCGACAAAAACCUUGAAACUAUCAUUAUUUACAAGUCUUCAAUCGCAGAGAGCCAAAUGUACGAACCCCACCGGCCGAAGUCGAAAACCCAAACCCUAGAGCUAUGCCGCCGGGACUCGCAGUGACGGAACUUUCAAACCCUAGAAAUGGCCAAGCAUUCCGUGGGGUGGGUCGCGGCGCAGAAGCGGUGGCUUCUGGCUUUACUCGUCAUGGUCUCCCUCUCUACCUUGAUCGCCUUCUUCAUCAGAGCCGCGUUUGACACCUGCGAUCGCGGCGGCCUUGACGUCGUCGAUAAGAGGGUUCCGCUGGGGGCGCCCAUUGGGACCAGUCCUAGCCCCCUCAGCUUCAUGAAGUCCAAGCUCGUGCUCUUGGUCUCCCACGAGCUUUCUCUUUCUGGUAAUGUCUCUGUCUCCAUUAUAUUGUUAUCAUUUUUUAUGAAUUUAAUGCAUUUUUAUAUUAAUCGUGUUUAAUUAGUUGUGUUAAGUUUUUAAUGACUUAUUAGAUUAUACAAACAUAGAAAGUUAGCAGCUUUAGAUGAAAAAUCACUUGUAUCAGUGGAAUCUGUGAGCAUUAACUGGUUUUCGAACUAUUGGAUGGUUUUCGAUGACCCGUUUAACAAUAAGUCCUUUCCUGUGCCUCAUUACUUUUAAAUUUCCUGUUUUAUUCUAGUAUUUAUGGAGAGGGUAGCUUGUUCCUUAGUGUGUUAAUGCUGUUUGAUAUAUUUUCAUCUCAGUUGAGUUUAAUUUGUUUGUGAAUUUGGAAACAUGGUCUGGUGCAGUUGCAUGCCCUUCAUUAUGUUCGAGUUUAAUCAAUGAUUUCAUUGGGGAUUUAUGUGAAGUCAAGAUUAUAGAGUGGAAGAACUGAGUACGUUACUUCUCUGCGAUUGUUGAUUCUUAUAAGACGGCAUCUGUAUUGUUCUACUAUUCACGUAUUUUUGUAACUUAAUUAAUUCAAUAACCCGAUAAGCAGGGUUGUUUGAAUUAUUUGUCCAUUCUGUGUACUGAUGUGUCAUUUGAAAAUAUUACUACUCAACUUGAAAAUGUUUGUCGUCUUUUGAACAUUAACCUAUUUAUUGGGAUAAUCUUGUUCUCGAGCUGUCAUGCAUUUUGUAAUACAAUGUGUUCUUUGAAGAAUGCUCUUUUUUUCAGAUGAGAAACUUUUGUCCUUGGUUCGAGAACUUAUUGAGUCAAUAUUCUUGCCGGCGUCAACAGACUAACGUUUUCUAAUGUUGAUGCGUUCUUUUUGUUAUAUUUACUUGCACUUGUCAGCAUAUUGAAAUAAAUGGAGUAGUACCACAACUGAUGAAAGCUAUCUUCCUCCUUAACCAGAUAUCUGGUUGAAGAGUAUAUUUUAUCCCACCAAUUUCUGCUCUUUAUAUCUUACAAACGCUACUGGAGGGAUAAUAUAUUGAACAUUCUUCCAGGUGGACCUUUGUUGUUGAUGGAGCUAGCAUUUUUAUUGAGAGGUGUUGGCACUGAAGUUUAUUGGGUUACAACCAUGAAAUCGUCAGAUACAGAUGCUGUAACAUACAGUUUGGAGCAUAAGAUGUUGGACCGAGGAGUGCAGGUACAAAUUUCACUUUUAACUUUUUAAGAGAUUAUUUUGGAAGUCUUCUUUUGCAGUCUAGUUGUUGUCUUUGUUCUACAUAGUUAUUUUUAUUAUCUCAAUAUUUCAUGAUAUGGAAGCAUUCUGUUGUCCAACUGUACUAUAUUGGCCACGUGCUAAGGAAACUAUGCUAAGUAAAUCUAGCUUCCCAUCUGAUUUGAUCUAUACUAUGGCCUUGUCUGGCUCGGUCUUCUCUGCGUGUCAUUUCCUGUUUUUGAUAGGUUAGAUUUCUCUGUAACUUCUCCAUGUUUCUAAUACUGCUUCUAUACAUCUCUAGGUCCUCUCUGAAAAUGGCCAAGAAACUGUGAAUACAGCUCUCAAAGCUGAUUUGGUUGUAUUGAACACCGCAGUUUCUGGGAAAUGGUUGGAUGUUGUUCUUAGGGAAAAUGUUCCCCGUGUUCUCCCAAAAGUGUUGUGGUGGAUUCAUGAAAUGCGUGGCCAUUACUUCAAAUUGGAUUAUGUUAAGCACCUCCCACUUGUUGCAGGUUCUAUGAUAGAUUCACAUGUAACAGCAGAAUAUUGGGAGAAUAGGACUCGAGAGCGUUUGGGGUAGGCUUCAAAUAUUCUUCCUUUUUCUUUUUUAUAUCAUUUGGUUCACCGUUGCAUUCAUUUUCUCUCUGCAGUAUCAAAAUGCCCGAGACCUUUGUUGUUCACCUAGGAAACAGCAAGGAACUUAUGGAAGUUGCUGAGGACAAUGUGGCAAAGCGAGUUUUGCGUGAGCAUGUCCGGGAGUCUCUUGGAGUUCGAAGUGAAGAACUAGUAUUUGCCAUCAUUAACAGUAUGUAUUUUGGUCUGUUUUGAUGGUUUGAUUGAAUUUGGUUAUAAUGUUUCACCAUGAAUUUACCAGUUUGUUUGUUUUUUAUCUUUAUCUUGUUUCUAGUAUGCUGGUGAAAUUUGUGUUAAUUUCCGUGGGGAUAUGACAAAUAAAAAGUAAUGUUCUGGUUAGUUUAUGCAUACAUUGUGAGCACUAAAUUACACUUCAUGUCUAUAGGUGUUUCGCGCGGAAAAGGCCAGGAUUUGUUUUUGCGUUCCUUCUAUGAAAGCUUGCGACUGAUCCAAGAGAAGAAGCUGCAACUGCCAAAAAUGCAUGCUGUAAUUGUGGGGAGUGACAUGACUGCUCAUACCAAGUUCGAGCAUGAAUUACGUAACUUUGUAGCGAUGAAGAAAAUUCAAGAUCGUGUUCAUUUUGUAGACAAAACUCUGACUGUAGCACCGUAUCUGGCUGCAAUUGAUGUCCUUGUUCAAAAUUCGCAGGUAUUAGAAGCAUUUUUCUUUUAUUAUUGUGUUAUUCAAUCUUGUUUUGAUGCAUAUAGAAUUCCCAACUAGCCAACGAAUAAAGAAUAAGAUCCAUACAAAUAGGUGUUCAGAUUAUUCUUUUUCAAGUUUGACCCUAAUGUGGUUGGAAUUACAUAAAUUUUAUUAAAAUAUCCAUUUUCAUCUUGUAUUUUUUUUUUCAUUCCGUACAGGCACGCGGAGAAUGCUUUGGUAGGAUAACCAUUGAAGCCAUGGCAUUUCAGCUGCCAGUAUUGGUAAUGAACCUUCCUCCUUUUCGUUUCGCGUAAUAUCUAAUACUGAUGCUGCCUAUCUUAUUGACCCAUUUCAUUGUCUUUUUUUUCUUUCCCAAAUAAAAUAUUUAUCAGGGAACAGCGGCAGGUGGCACCACAGAGAUUGUAGUGAACGGAACGACAGGUUUGCUGCAUCCUGUUGGGAAAGCAGGGAUCACUCCUCUCGCGAAUAAUAUGGUAAAACUCGCCACUCACGUUGAGAGGAGGCUUACGAUGGGGAAGAGAGGCUACGAAAGGGUCAAAGAAAGGUUCCUAGAACACCAUAUGGCAAAUAGAAUAGCUGCGGUUCUGAAGGAAGUAUUGCGCAAGUCAGACAGCCGCUCAGAUUCUUAACACAUGCUCUCUUCUCCUCAUGUCGAGAUUUCAGCGCUUAAGUAGGUCGAUUUUCCUUUUAUGUCGACAUAAUCGUCCCUCGGGUUUUUCACCUUUCUAUUUCCAAUAGGGCUGUACAUUAUGUGCAUAUUAAGGCAAGAUCGAGAUUGUAGCUUGUUAAAAGGUUGACAUUAAUGACAUGAUCGAUUUUGUUAUAGCAUGGGAUUGGAAAAAUUGGCAUCUCAUUGACAUGCUUGCAACUCUCUUGUUACUGAAUUAUGAGCAUUUAUGCUUGUUAACUCUUAUCAUCUUUUAUAUGGGCGGGUAGGAUGGUUUGCCGAAAUAACUUGCCGACACUCGUUUCAUGAAACGGGGCAUUUCACAUAUAAGCUCACGUACCUCUUGCAUGAUAUAGCAAAAAUGAAACGGGCAUAGGCAAGUUUUGUGCGGUUUUGCCAGCUUUUUGUUUGUAAGUUUUUGAAAAGAACAUCAUAAACAAAGCGUUGGUUCGUGCUCACUUCCCCCAUGCAUCGGAGUUUGAAUCUUCAUGUUCGAAAAUCACUUGGAUUAAAAGUAAAAUUAAAGAAUCACUGACAUGUUAACAAACGUGUCAAUAAUUCUUUUUUUUUUAACCGAUCCAACUUAAUGUGAAAAAGUUUUGUUGUUGUACCGACGUGUUAAAAAGAAAAAAAUAAUUACAACUAAGAACUUAGCUUAAGCUUUACAUUAUAGCAAAAAGUUCAAAUUUUUCAUUACAACUCAGAACAAAGCUACUGAGCUAGUAAGAAGAUCCGUAAGACUUCAAGGAGACUUGGGUUGUGGAGAAUCACUUGCUGGCUUUGGCUUCUGCUUGAAGUUGUGCUUUGUAAACCAAGUGGUGUACAGAAAGUGCUUCUGAGCUCCUACAUGGUUGCAUAUCAAUCUGAGCUUCUGCCUCUCCCUCAUCCACCUCAGCACUAUCUUCAUGUGCCUCUUGCUCGUCAACCCUCUCAACCCGACUUUCUGAAAGAAAAAACCACUCAGACAUUUCAUCAAACACUUGGUGCGCGAAAACGAAAUCACUGAGAUUACCUUGACGUGAUCCCAGGUUUCGGAAAUGGUGAGAGGACCGUGCUCCUUGACGAUGUCGAAGAUGGCCCUGGUGAUGGUCUGUGUCUGCUCAGGUGGGGUAUUGAGCUCUAUGGGUUUCAUCGGAGGUUUUGGUUUCCGAGCGAUGCACCUGAUCGCUGUCCCAAACAUGUUUCUGAUUUCCCUUUGCUAAAGAGAGUGGGCUAACAAAUAUAACCCGUUAGGUAAAAUGUUAUUCAUUUAAUUUAGCACAGAGUAAAUUGUAACAAUGAUUCUUCAACUUUAAUUAAAUUGGAGAAACAGUUUAUCAACUAAAAAUUAAUUACCAUUUAUCCCUCAACUCAUCAAAAUGUGUAGUUUGGUCAUUUUCGUCAAUUUCGUCAGAAUUUUAUCAAAAUAAGUUAUGUUGGAAUGACCAUUGCUAUAAUUGAGGUCUCUCAACUCAUCAAAACGUGUAGCUAUGAUCAUUUUUGUCAAGUACAUCAAAAUUUUGUCAAAAUGAGUUAUGUUGAAAAGAUCAUUGCUACAAUUGAGUUAAACUUGAGAGAUCAUUGCUCCAAUUGGGUUAAAGUCGAAGGACCAAUGAUAAUAAAUUUUUAAUUGAGAGACCAUAACUACAUGUUCUGAUGAGUUGAGGGAUCAAUAGUAAUAGAUUUUUAGUUGAGGGACCAUUGCUACAAUUUAAUCUAUAGCACGUUCUUAGCGCUACUGAAUCUUUUUCCCGAGUACGAAUACGAUGGUGUUGGUUUUCGACUCCCAUCGACCAUAGAGCUAAGGAUUGCUGCGUGAACACCUGGUAUAUGUCGACCUGAUCGAAGAAUUUGUCUUCGUCAUUACGAUCUGGGUUGAGGUGACUGAUCUUCCACACGCCAUUAUCCACAGUGAAUCGAAUCAUAGCCUUACAGCCUGUUCUUGUGUCUAGUCUUCCCCAAUUUCGACAUAAGCCCAGAAUAGACACGUGACGGCAAAAAAUAGCGGUAGAGUAAUACUUAAACUUAACUGGGAGCGUCAAAUCACCACCUUUGUUUUCUUCCCAACCUCCCAGUUCCAGUUUAAAUAGCAUGUUCACGUUUAAUUUUACCAAAAAAAAAAUGAAUGUGGGAAUCAACCUACAUCACCAUUCUUUGAUUUUUUUCAAACUUGCAUGGCACGGGUCCAGUGUGGCGUCUCUUGCCAAUAGUACAAAUACAUGUUAGUUAUCGUUGCAUUUCAAAUAAUAAUAAUAAUAAAACGUGUUAGUUGCCUUGUAUCGUUGGCACAAAAUGCCACCGUAGCAGUUUAUGCUGUGCCAUGCAUGCUGCAAGUGAAUCAAGAUAACUCUUCUACACCGUGCUUAAAAGUCGAGAAACCAGUGUGUCCAGACUCCAGAAGCACUCAAAGGGUUUAUAUUCAUUUCUAGCCAAGACUCUGCACAUAACCUAGAAAUAAAAUGCCAAGACAGUGUUCUAAACAGCAAUAACACAGCAGCACAUAAAUUAAACUAAAACGGCGCACAAGUGAAAAGAUGCUACUUCAGAUCAGUAAAAUCCAUUAAUAUUAAUGUACUAUAGCACUUAACGGCGAUACAAAGUAUAUAAAGAUUAACCGAGAUAAAUUAUAGAUUUCAAACUCCAGUAUUGACAACAAAUAUAAUAACCGGAUACAUCUAACAUCAAUGAACCGACACUAGAAAAAGAAAACGAUGUACAAUGUUGGCUUCUACAAAAGAAGAAAAAUAAGAAUCUAACCUUUCAUUCUGAACAUCUUAUGCAAUGAAGUGCAAUUUUUUUUUCAAUCUAGGAGACUUGUCCUUUAGCUGUCACAACCGGGGGAUUCCACACUCCCAUUAUCAAGAGACAUAUCGCGAACAGAUUGGUCAUCUACUUUGCUCAAAUUUCCUAGCAUGUAGGUAGUUUCCUCGUCACUUUCCAGCAACUUUAUGGUCUCCGCUAACUUUUGUUUGACAAUCCUUUUUCCCGAAUCACACAAUGAGCCUAUACUGAAAACAUUCGUUCCUUCAUGCAUUAACUCACUUAGGCGCAACGAUUGAGCAGAGUUGGCCUUUCUAUCUGAUGACUUACUGAACUUAUUACUCGCCACAAUCCCUUUUUUUGCCUCUCUAGUCCAUCUCUUCACUAUGUAUUGUGUCGGUAUGCUUGUGAAGUUUUUAGAAUCCAACACUUUGAGGGCAUGACGACACAACAAGCCCAUCGAUUCAAAUAACUUACAAGAACAAGAAACUGUGGAUGUAGUAGAGUUGUACCGAAUCAUGAAGACUCUUUGAUGACCUUCUUCGAUUGCUUCAUAAAUAUAUUGGUUGCCGUCAUUACCAACUUCCACCAUCCUCACCCCAAAAAUGCUCAUAAGCUCAUCUUCAAAGAAUGAAUACAUUUUGACAGUGUACUCAGUAGCUGCAUGCUUAAAUAUACUACUAUUUACUCUAAGACGAGGCUUCGCAUUUUUACAACGAAAAUCCUCUUCCAACUCUGUGAACCGCAUCUUUUUUAUUUUUUGCUCGUAGUGCUGUACAAAACUAACAAGAUCCACUAUUUUUCUGGAAACUUGAUGGAAAAUGGUGUUCGUAUUCUCACCCCUCUGGCUUGAUCCAAUAUUUGCUGAGAAAGCAUCUGAGCUAAAUGCUGGACACCAUUUAUCUCGAAGUGAAUACAACAUCUUUAGCCACGAGUUGCUUUCAAGGUUGAACAUUUUAAUCAUGUCAUCCCAGGCAUGUUGAAGUUCUUGUUCAGUAAAACAAUCGUAAAAGCAUUUGUAGAAGUGCUUCUUGAAUUCAGGAUCAGCAUAAAGACUACCAAGAUGUUGUGUAGCAUUCUUGGAGAUUUGCCAAUUGCAUAACAGAUGGCGUGUCUCUGGAAACACAAUCUCAAUUGCCCUUGCCUUUUCCAUUGCUUUAUUCUCAUCUGUGAAAAUGGUUACUGGCUGUUUAUUUCCCAUUGACUCCAAAAAUGUUUCAAACAACCACAUAAAUGAGGCAGUGCUCUCGUCCAAUAAAAAUGCACAACCAAAUGAGAUAUUCUUCCAGUGGUGAUUAACUCCCAAAAAUGGAGCACAAAUUAGAUUGUUGUUGGUUUGAAACGUAGUGUCAAAGCAUACAACGUCUGCAAAACAAUCAUAAUCCAACUUUGAUCUACCGUCUCUCCAAAAAUAAUUUGUGAUCCGAUUAAACUGAUCCACCUGUACACUGUAGAAAAAACUCGGAUCCUCCAUCUGUUUAUGCUUAAAAUAGUUUAUCAAGCUUUGUCCAUCCCCUGCAAUCAAUUCAUCCUUCCCCCUUUGCAAACAAUUAUGCGAAUCUUUAUUACUAACCCCGACAUUCUCAGCACUUCCAAAUUCCUUUCCCAAAUAUGAUUGCAACUUUGGUGGUCGUAUACUCCCAUCAACCUUAGAGCUGCCAAGUAUAGUUGCACGAACACUUGGUAUAUUUCUCCCCGACCUCAGAAACUGUCGCUCUUCAGGCCUAGCAAACUCGUGAUUAUGAAUUGGAUUAAUGUACGAGAGCUUCCAUACACCAUUUUCCACAUUGAACCGAAUCACAGCCUUGCAACCUGUCCUUGUGUCCAAUCUUCGAACUUUUCUCGCUUCACACAAGUCUUCAUCUACUUGAAACCCUUCUUUCGAGCACGUGUAUUCUCUCUGCCGGACAUUGUUCUGCGAAUCUCUCCGAAGAUGACCUUUCCGAAUACUAAAACCUUUGUUGAAGGCAUAGGUGUUGCAUAGCUGGUACGCCUCAGCUUCAUCACUAACCUCCAUUCCUACCCUCAGUUCAUCAAUUUCUCCGAAAAUUUCAUCAUUGUCGCUUUUUUCUAAUGAUUCCUUUUGAGAAUCACUAUCCAUUUAGCUCAAAUCAGCCUAAUCAUAAACGAAUAAUUAAUUUAUGUAAAUAAAAUUAAAAUUUAACUCCUAACAAAAUAAAGGUGCAAAAUUUAAGAUGAAUCCCAAAUUUUUCAAUAAAAUCGAAAUAGCCCAUUUCGCUAAAACAGAUGUUAAUUCAUAUUAUCAAUCGCGAAAUUAAAUUGAAAUAAUUGUCUGAUUCUUCCCCAAAUUUUUCUCAGCCAUUAAAAUUUCAAAACUUUCAACUUCAAAAUUUUCAGAAAUGAAAAAAAGAAGGCAACAAUCAUAUCAUCAAAGAACCAGAGAGGAGAGACGAUUACCUGGUUUUUCCGAUAAACGAGAGAGAAGAAGAGAGUCGAUACGUCGUCGUUUAGAGGAGGAACGGGAGGAGGAGUUUGGGCUGAGAGGAGUGCUGGCACUGUGUGAAUAGAAAAGGGUCUAGAGAUUAGGGAGGAACAAAACGCAGCGUUCUCAUCCCGUCUCUAUCAAAUACAAAAUUUCACUUUUGGCCUUUCUAAUUUACGCCGAGUUUAUUUUAGUCCUCCUAAUUUUUAUUGUGUCAAUGUUGACCUUGUAAUAUACCAAAAGUUGCAACUCGACAGCUGGUUUGAGAUUGUAGUGCUUUUAUAAAAAACAGCUUAUUAAAAUACCUGAAGCAUCAAAUAUAUUUGGUAAAAUAAAAAAAGCAUUUUUUUUUUAUAAAUUAAGUUUAUCCAACACUCAAAUACUAUUAUUUUUGCAAUUUGUUAUAAACAUUUUUACAUAAAAUAAAUUUACCAAACACUUAACAAAUUUAGUUUACAGCUGUUUAUUCUCAGAAAUAUUUUUUUCAAAAAGAACAACAACACCAAACUAACCCACAUUAUAACCAUCUUUUGAAAAAAAAUUCAAGAAAACUCCUUAAAAUCCCAUGACUAAUAGUGUAUUUUAGAAGUAUUUCAAGUCAUUCGGUCUUCUGCAGGUUGAAACAAACAAGGGGUAACUCAUGAGUUCUGUGCAGGUGAAACAACCCAUCCAGAAUACACCGAGAUUAAGACGACGUUGGAUGACAUUCUGGACAGAUUACAAGUUCAUGGCUACCAGCCAAACCUGGUUUCGGCCGCUUAUGCUGUGGGAGACGAAGAAAAGACGGGUAUAUUAAUGUCUCAUAGUGAAAAGCUAGCUUUAGCAUAUGCAUUGCUCAGUAUAGAUUCUGGUUCCGCCAUUAAGAUCAUGAAGAACAUUAGGAUUUGCGGACACUGUCAUUCGUUCAUGUGCGGCGCGUCCUAGGUUACAGGGAGGGAGAUUGUCGUGAGAGAUAACAUGAGAUUCCACCAUGGAAGAAGAUUACAGUGCAAUGUUUGAUAUGGCGGAAGGCCGGUUUUGAGUAAUAUGAUCAUCUAGGCAAAUGUUUCAGCCAAUGCAGUUGAUAUAUUAACAUAAUAGACAACAAAUUUUCACAUCACAAAGACAGACAUUGCGUAGUGCUCUCUGUGCAUUAGCCACACAAACAACUCAGCUCACACCAGAGGCACCAGUAGCUUAUUAUAUGACCGAUAUAAUAGUAACAAACCACUGUAUUUAUAUCUUGUGGUGUCCGCCGCGAAGCUUCUCUAUGAUCUUGUCCAUGAUCCCUUUCUUUUCGUGGUGCUCCUCCGUGUAAGCGGUGCCGCCGCCGGAGGGUGUGGUGGUCGACGUCGUAGUAUGUGAGUACCGGGGAUCAUCCUUGUGGCCAGUACUCGGCAGCUUGUCCUCGAUCUUGUCCAUCAUCCCUUUUUCCUGGUGGUGACCUCCUGGGUCGGCGGUGCCGUAUGCUGUGUCAGUUGUGGUUGAGCCUGGGAGCUUCUCAUUUAUCUUCUGUUUCAGCCCCUUUUUCUUCCUACUCCCACCUAGCCCAUCAUCCUCUGACUACAACACAAUAAUUAAAUACCCAACAUAUAACUACCAAGAGAAAAAUACAAGUUAACAAUUUCAUGGGAAAUUUUACAUUCCUUAUUUCUCUUGAAAUUGGGAUACCAAGUCCAUAAAAAAUCCACCGGAAGAAUUGAAUGCCUUUAUUGAAUAAUACUUGCAUAACCUAUCUUCAUCGUAGAAAUUUUAUAAUCAUAACCGUUUUUAUUUUUAAUCUCCAUUUAAGAUUAUGUGUACAAAAAUCAUUUGAAUAGAAUAUCGUUUUUAGUCAUCCAAAUGUAUCACAUAAAUCAACAGUGUAGAAAAAUCAUUUGAAUAUGAUAUCGUUUAGUCAUUCAAAUAUAUCUCAUAUAUAUCAACAGUGUAGAUACCAAGUAACAUAUAUUAUAAAGAUCAACAGUCCAUUUAUUCCAUAAAUUUGGAUGACUAAAUAAUGUUCGAUUAAAUGAACUUUUGUAAGGAUUGAUAAUCUUUAAAUUAAUAUUUAGAAAUUGAAUGGCCUCGAUUAUGAAACUUGUAGGAUGAAGAUACACAAUUGGGGAAAUGAGCUCAAUUCCCAGGAGAGGAAUGCAAAUAUUAUUCUUUCUAGUGACUAUAGUCAAUUCUAAUAAGAUGUGAUACGUUGAUUUGCAUUUACGGAGUACAAUACAUGAAACUAAUUUAAUCAGUAAGAUGAUACAAAUAAUUGUACAUAUUUACCCAAAAUUAAUACCAUUAGUAUCCUGGCUAAUUGUAUUAGGAUUUACACACAAAUUCAUUUUCGUGGAAAUUAUGCGGUUAAUUAAGUCUAAUCUUUUUGCUAGCAAGGUCUAAUCUUUUUAGACAAAACAAUGGUACAAAUUACAAUAUCCUACGAAAAUUAAGAUCAAAUCUUUAUAUGGGAAAAAGAGAUUACUUACAGAGCUAGAGCUUGAGCUGGCGGAGCGAUGAAGCAUGCCAGUGACACCAUGGUGCUCUUUCCUGCCGUAAUCGUGACCAAGUGUGCCGUGACCACCUGCCGUGGUGGCAGCAUAGCCAGUGGUCACAACGGCCGUGUGAUGAGCACCGUAUUCUCCGGUGGCAGCAGGAGCGAUGCCAGUAGUAGCACCGUGAUGACCAAGUGGGUUUCCAUACUUGUCCACUUGGGGAACCAAGGGGUUGCUGUUCUCGUCAGUUCCCUGAGUCGGGUUGCCGCAGGCGGCGGUGGGUGGUGCCCCGUAUUGAUGAUUUUGUAAAUGCGCCAUUCUCUAAAAACACAAUGAAACCUUUUCUUCUUCUUGGAAAUUUUUUAAUAUGCUUCGAUGAGGAUUUGAUUUUGAUGAAGUCUGACAAUUUGGGUCGGUUUAUAUAAGCAAAAUAACAAAACAUGCAUGUCACAGUAGGGUUCUUGCCGUUUGCCAAACUUUAAUAAUUUGUAAAACUAUCCCCACUCUCUCUCUGUAUACAUGUCGUAUACGGUAUACCUCACAUUGCCACAAAAGCAACUCCCGACAGCAAAAAUAGUGUUAGACAUGUCGUAUAGCUCACAUUACCAAUACCUUGAAAGCAACUGCCGACAUCAAAAAAUAAUAGAACUUGGAUUGUUCAUGCUACUAGCUUCCAUCGCUAGGACAUGUACUUGGAAGCAAGCUAUACAGCCACCUUGAAUCAAUGAAUGAACCUUGAAUCAACGAAUGAAUGAAAAGAAAUGGAAUUGAAAGCAAGCUACAGCUACCUCAAAUCAAUCAAUGAACGAAUGAAAAGAAAAGAAACCGCCUGCUUAUCUUGUGUGACAAGACCAUAGAGCGAGUGGCUCUUCUAUGUGUGAAAUUAUCUUGUGUGACAAGACCAUAGAGCGAGUGACCAUUCUAGGUGGGCAGCUGUGUGAGAGAGAGGAAUUCGAACUUGAUAUUGAUAUCAGCGGAGGCGUUUGCAAGUGGCAAACUAAAUAACAUGUUCAUGUUCUUAUUGCUACUCAUUUUAACAUAAUAGACAACAAAGUUUUGUAAGCAGUAUAUCAAUAAAUAAACUACUGCAACACAUCAUACCAACACUACCCUAGGAUUACCAACUAAUAUCAGAUUCACCAUAACUAGAGAAACACCAGUUUAUAAUCUACAAGACACUUACCUGGAGGCAUCGCCAUUGAAGAAACAACAGAAGAAGAAGUCUUCUACUUCCAACACUCGAAAGUCUCUUCUCUAAGUGAAUAGGGUUUUAGAUAAUAUUGAGAGCGUUAGUAAGGAAGCAGGGACUUCAACUAUAUAUAUAUCCAUCCAUUUUGCUACAGAUUCACUCGGUCCAACCUAUUAUCAGAAAGAGUGAUAAUCUCUAUCUCUUAAUAAGUUUUAGUCCUAUCAUGACUCUAUAUACUAGUAUAUAUUUGAUAAGGAUCAAAAUAGAACAGCUGCAACAUACAAAACUCCACGAUUCUUGUCAUACCAAAGCUCUCAGACUCCUUGUGUUUCACAUAACUAGUAUGACUAGUUAAACGCCACCCAAGUAGUCCAGUUGUAAUCUCAUUGUCAUUCAAACAAGUUUUACAUUCUCCCACUUGAAUGUCAAUGAUAUGCCUCAAUAUUAUAAGAAUCAUGAUGAUCAUACAGUUCACAAAAGCUUGCAACUGAUCCUUCAUAGUAACUUGUCAUCUUUAAGAAAAAUAUAGGACCACAAAAAACAAAGCACGAAUAGCUUGCACUUUGCACUCUGUGAUCACAUACAUAUUUAGCUUAAAAACACUAUGUCACUUUUGAGAGUCAUGACGUCAAGAACUGACAAUUCUCAGUUCCACAUAACAAAAUGAAAUAAUUCCAGUACCAAAGUUGUUUGUAGAAACAUAAUAAGCCAAUUUAAACAAAUCAAUAACGAUAACAAAUUUGCAAGAUAACUAACAAUCGUCAAUCAGUAAACAAAAUAAUUGAAACAAACCCAACACGGUUUAUGGAGUGCUUACUCCCACUCAUUAACUGAAUCAAGGACCUCUCUUACUCCCAUGUUGAAAACAUGUUUCUUGAAAACUCCCACUGGUAAAGCCUUUGUCAUUGGAUCAGCAACCAUUAAACUUGUGUUGAUGUACUCAAUUUCGACAGUUUCUUUCUUCACUUCAUCUCGUACUUUUAAGUACUUGAUGUCCAUCAAUCUGCUGGCAUAAGACCUCUUGUUAUUCUUCGAAAAGAAAACUGCAGCUUUGUUGUCACAAUACAACUUGAGAGACCUUUCAACACUGUCAACGAUUUCCAAUCCUUUCAUCAUGUUUUUAAGCCAAAUGGCUUGUUGAGUUGCUGCAUAGCACCCUAUAAAUUCAGCUUCCAUAGUUGAAGAUGCAAUACCUUUCUGUUUUGCACUCUUCCACGAUACUGCACCAUUAGCCAACAGAAAGAUAUAUGCAUUAGUUGACUUUCUGUCGUCCACGCACCCUGCCAAGUCCGAAUCCGUGAACCCUACCAAUUCCAGCUUGUCCACAUGACUAUAAGUUAACAUAAAAUCUCUUGUUCUUUUGAGACACCUCAGUACCUUUUUCGCUGCAACCCAAUGACAUACACCAGGAUUUGAUUGAAACCUACCAAGCACACUCAGUGCAAAAGCCAAAUCUGGUCUUGUGCAUACCUGAGCAUACAUGAGACCCCCUACAAGAGAUGCAUAGGGCUUGUCUUUCAUUCCCUCAUUCUCUAAUUCAUUUUUGGGACAUUAAACACUACUCAGUUUGUCUCUUUUGCCGAUAGGCAAUUCUCCAUUCGAACAUUUGUCCAUAUUGAAUCUUUUAGCAUCUCUAUCGAUGUACUACCUUUGAGAAAGACCAAGAGACUUCGUAACACGAUCUCUUACAAUUUAUAUUCCCAAAACAAAUCGAGCUUCCCCCAAGUCCUUCAUGUUAAAGUUUUGAGUGAGCAUACUCUUAGUUAACUGUAGUAGAGACAUAUCAGAGCUAGCUAAUAAUAUAUCGUCUACAUACAAUACUAAGAAUAUGACCUUCGCACCAAGGACUUUCAGAUAAAUACACUCAUCCAUUUUGUUCUCUUGGAAACCAGAAGCUGCCAUUACCUGAUCAAAUUUCUUAUUCCAUUGCCUCGAGGCUUGUUUUAAGCCGUAUAUAGACUUAUUCAGUUUACAAACCAUCGUCUCAUUCCCCCUUUCAACAAAUCCAGGUGCUUGUUGCAUGUAAAUAUCUUCUUCAAGAUCUCCAUUUAGAAAUGCCGUCUUGACGUCCAUUUGAUGAAGUUAUAAAUCAAAAUGUGCUGUGAGAGCUAGAAUUAUUCUCAUGGAAUCUUUUGUUGAGACUGGAGAAAAUGUCUCAUUAUAGUCAAUGUCUUCCCUUUGUGUAAAGCCCUUCGCCACUAACCUUGCUUUGUGUUUGUCAAUGUUGCCUUAUGAGUCUCGUUUUGUCUUGAACACCCAUUUACAACCAAUAAUUUUUGUUGUCCCAAUUGGCUUUGGAACUAAGCUCCACACACUGUUUUUCUCCAUGGACUCCAGUUCUUCAUGCAUGGCUUGUUUCCAUAAUGUUGAUCUUGAACUUGUUAUGGCUUGAUUGUAGGACAAGGGAUCAUCUUCAUCACCUAUAGUAUGUUCUGCCUCAUUUAGUUAUGUUUAUACCAUAUUUAGGGCCUCGUAUUUAGAUCUCGUACAAAUACUCGGAGGACUUAAAUGUAAUUAUAUGAUAAAGGAAUGGGCAAAUAUGUAAUAAAAGAUGAGUCCUUAUUCUAUAAAAGGACCACUCACCCUCACAAUUAGGGGAGGCCAAUUCCUAGGCCUUCUCACCCCCUCUCAAAGCUCUCACUCUCAGAGCUCUCUCUCCCUUAGAAAUACAAUAUCAGUGUGGACGUAGCCCAAACUUUGGGGUGAACCACGAUACAUCUUGUGUUAUUUACAUUUCAUGCAGAUUCACGGUCGGAUUUACGUUGUUCCAAGACCUUCAGUUUUGUGCAUCAACAAGGUAUACAAAAUCAGGCAACAAUGUUGCCUUACGUACUCGCUGUGAUUUUCGAAUAUUUGAUUCAAAAACUGCAGUUACUGGAUCAUUCAUAAGAUCUACUUCAGUUAAUUGUACUGGUGCAUGUACUUCAUGUUCCUGGACGUCUGCAUAGGGCACAUACUCCUCAUUUGUUGUAUCAUCUGCAUAAACCGUAUGUGAAUUGUCAUGAAAAGGUUAUGGCUGCAUGUUCAUGGGAAUAAUAAGGGUAGAUGGAUGCUGAUCAAUAAUGUCACUAUCAAGUGUGAUUUCUUUGAAUUUUGAGGAUGUAGUUGCUGAUAUGCUGAUGUCAGUUUCAUCCCCAUCUUCAAGAAAUCUUGCAUUAUGGGUUUCCAUAACCCUCGAGUGACUGUUAGGGCAAUAGAAUUUAUACCCUUUAGACUUCUCAGAAUACCCAAUGAACUUGCAACUGGUGGUCCAUGGAUCGAGUUUUUUCUCUGUUGGAUUAUAGAAUCUGGCAUCGGCAUUACAACCCCAUACACGAAAGUGAUGAAAACUCGGUUUCCUUCUUGUCCAAGCUUCGAAUGGUACCAUGUCAACGGACUUGCUCGGUACACGGUUCAAUAUAUAAUUUGUAAUUUUCAGUGCUUCUUCCCAAAGAAACAUUGAAAGCUUUGAAUGUGCAAACAUGGAUCGAAUCAUGUCCUUCAGGGUUCGAUUCCUUCGUUUAGCAACUCCAUUUUGAUGAGGAGUCCCAGGGGUAGUAUACUGAGCCACAAUGCCAUUUUGUUCAAGAUAAGUUGCAAAAGGUCAUUUGUGUUGUCCAGCCUCAGUGAACUUGCCAAAAUACUCACCACCUCUAUCGGAUCUCACAAUCUUAAUGUGUUUUUCUAGUUGUUUUUCAACUUCCAAAUGAAAUGUUUUAAAACAAUGCAAGGCUUCAGAUUUUUCAAAAAUAAGAAAAACAUAUGCAAACCGUGAAAAAUCAUCAAUGAAGGUUAUGAAAUAUGAUUUUCCACAUAUGGUCUUAAUUGGAAAGGGUCCGCAAAUAUCAGUGUGUAUAAUUUCCAGUAGAGAUUGGCUACGGUUUGACCCUAUUUUCCUAGUAUUGGUGAGUUUUCCUUUAAAACAAUCAACACACUCUUUAAAGUUGCUGAAAUCAAGUUGUGGCAACAAGUCUUGUUUUGUAAGUGUGAUGAUUCUUUCUUUAGAGAUGUGCCCCAACCUUUUGUGCCAAAGCAUUGAGGUUUUUUCAUGAGUGAGCACUUGUUUGAACCAGCACUUUGAACAUUAAAACAUUCAAUCUCAUACGUACAAUUCAUUUGCCACGUAUCAACUUUAAGAUAUGCUUCACUAAGUAAUUUAUUCAUGUCAUUGGAAUGGAAAAACUUUACACUUUGACUGUCACCCACUAAUGUAAAGCCGGAUUUAACUAACUUAGAUGCAGAAAUUGAUUUCCUUCUCAUGGAAGGUACAUAGAGUACUGGACUCAAAUCUAAAAUAAAGCUAGAGGAAAGAACUAAUUUGACACUUCCUAUGGAUUCGAUAGCAACUUUGCUGCCAUUCCCUACAUAGACAUUGUAGACUUCAUUGUUUAUCACCCUUGUUUUUUAGAAGCCCUGCAAAGAAUUAGUUAUGUGAAUAGAGCAGCUUGUGUCAAACCACCAACUUUUAGGAGGAAUGUAAACUAAAUUAGACUCAACACAUACAAAAAUAUUUAUUUCGUUACCUUUCUUAACAAGCCUAUUCUUGAAGCCAUUGCAGUUCUUUCUUAAGUGACCUAUUUCUUUGCAAAAAUAACACUCUUUUUCUUUCUCAAGUUCAAUGUUAACAUGCUUUAUUUUAUGAGAUCCUUUAGAGAUGAUGUUAGUAUUUUUAAAUGAAGAAGAAAUUUCUUUCUUCUUCUUCUUACCAGCAACCACAAUUGAACUUUGAGUGAAGUCCUUUUUGCGUUUUUCACCUUGCACAAAAUUCACAUCUACUGAUUUGUCACUCUUGAGCCGAUCUUCUUCUUGUGCACACAUAAUGAUCAGUUCAUCGAUGCCCUAUUUGUCUUUUUGAGUGUUAUAAAAAACCUUGAGCUGCCCAUAUUUUGAAGGCAAGGAGUUCAAGGCCAUAUGAACUAAGAACUGGUCAAUCAUGGGUACUUCGAGAUCCUUCAACUUCUAAGCAAGAUCAACCAUCUUGAGAAUGUGUUCUCUGACACUUCCCUCACCAUCAAAUUUCAUAGAGGUAAUUUGAAUGAGAAAAGUCCCAGUUUCAGCCUUGUCAAAUUCUUUAAAUUUUUCCCCAACUGCAGCCAAGAAGUCUUUUGCAUUGUCUUGUUUUGGAACACCCCCUUUAACUGAUGGAGCCAUAGCCUUCCUUGUAAUCAUCAGGGACAUUCGGUUUGUUCUCUCCCACUUUUCAAACUUUGCCUUAUGAUCUGCAGUGCUCUCUGUAGUAAUAGCUGCAGGUUUUUCCUCCCUUAAUGCCAAAUCGAGAUCCAUAAGGCCAAGAACCAUUUCAACAUCCUCCUUCCACUUCUUGUAGUUAGAACCGAUCAGAGUCUCAAUAUUGUUGAAAUUGAGAGAUGUCAUAUGAGGAGCUACAAAACCAAAUAUUAAUUUUUAUAGUUCUUAGUCAUUAUGUAUCAACAAACAGAAGAAAAGAUUACGCCUAAUCUUUUCCCAACAUAUAAUCAUAUAAACAUAGUAUCAUCUUUGGACAGAAACUAUUUAUACUAGAUUUGCAUAGCCAAAAUAUUGAAAACGAGGGCAGUUUACAUAACUCCAACACUUUUAAGCAGAUGAAGAAUGCAAUCUUGUCAAUUCAAUAUUUCACUAUACAUUGAUUGAUUUAUUUAUUUAACUUGAAUAAAUAAACACUUUUGAGCAGAUUAUUAUUCACUUGAUACAAAUAAAUCACAUGUCUAAUCCUUUAGACAACAACAAAAUCAACAAACUAAACACUUUUGAACAGAUUAGGUGUUGAGAUCCUUGUUUACGAUUCAAAUUUUAUUUAUUAGUUCGGUUUUGACAAAUAAAACAUGAAUCCAAAAGUUCUUCUGGGUUGAGUGUUCCAAUAUUGCAAUUGUUCUUUGAACGAUCUUCUCUAGACAAAAAUAGCAAACACAACUGGAGGUAUACACGGCAAUAUUUGAUUAUAUAUAUAAAUAUAUUGAUCAUGCAAAUUUCUUUGUAAGUAUGCAACGGAAGCAUUUAAUGACAUAGGAUCAAAAUAUAUAGAUCAAUCAAAUCGAAAGUUAACCAUAUAUUAAAUAAAGAACCCUAGUCAUGUUAGGUUGGCUCUGAUACCACAUGUAAGCAGUAUAUCAAUAAAUAAACUACUGCAACACAUCAUACCAACACUACCCUAGGAUUACCAACUAAUAUCAGAUUCACCAUAACUAGAGAAACACCAGUUUAUAAUCUGCAAGACACUUACCUGGAGGCAUCGCCAUUGAAGAAACAACAGAAGAAGAAGUCUUCUACUUCCAACACUUGAAAGUCUCUUCUCUAAGUGAAUAGGGUUUUAGAUAAUAUUGAGAGCGUUAGUGAGGAAGCAGGGACUUCAACUAUAUAUAUCCAUCCAUUUUGCUAGAGAUUCACUCGGUCCAGCCUAUUAUCAGAAAGAGUGAUAAUCUCUAUCUCUUAAUAAGUUUUAGUCCUAUCAUGACUCUAUAUACUAGUAUAUAUUUGAUAAGGAUCAAAAUAGAACAGCUGCAACAUACAAAACUCCACGAUUCUUGUCAUACCAAAGCUCUCAGACUCCUUGUGUUUCGCAUAACUAGUAUGACUAGUUAAACGCCACCCAAGUAGUCCAGUUGUAAUCUCAUUGUCAUUCAAACAAGUUUUACAAGUUUCACAUCACAAAGAUAGACAUUGCAUAGUGCUCUCUGUGCAUUAGCCACACAAACAACUCAGCUCACACCAGAGGCACCAGUAGCUUAUUAUAUGGCCGAUAUAAUUGUAACAAACCACUGCAUUUAUAUCUUGUGGUGUCCGCCACGAAGCUUCUCUAUGAUCUUGUCCAUGAUCCCUUUCUUUUCGUGGUUCUCCUCCGUGUAAGCGGUGCCGCCGCCGGAUGGUGUGGUGGUCGACGUAGUAGUAUGUGAGUAGUGGGGGUUAUCCUUGUGGCCAGUACUCGGCAGCUUGUCCUCGAUCUUGUCCGUCAUCCCUUUUUCCUGGUGGUGCCCUCCUGGGUCGGUGGUGCCGUAUGUUGUGUCAGUUGUAGUUGAGCCUGUGAGCUUUUCAUUUAUCUUCUGUUGCAGCUAGCUUCUAUCGCUAGCACAUGUACUUGGUGUUGGAUAAAUAUCAACAAUCAACGAUAAAUUUAUAUAUGUUAAUAAAUAAUAAAUACAAAUAAAUAAUUUACCAGAGUAUAAACAUAACGAAAUAAUAUUAGACAGACAAAUUGAAAAUCAAAGCUUGCGUACCGUAAUGUCCUUGAAAUAUAAAUUUCAUCCCUAUUCAGUGCUUGUAGUUCUACAAACGUCUGCUUCACCAAUAUUCAAUUGACACACCCCGACCUAAAUCAGGGCGUGUUGGCCGUCACGUAGAAGUGAAGUAACCAUGUGCAUAGUGCGGAAACAAUAAAGAUAUAAGAGAAAUAUGAAUGAAUAAAAACCAAACUACUAGCCUUACUAGUUAAGAUAAGGUGCUAGAACGAGAUUAAGUGUGAAAUACACAACUAGAGCAUAAAUAGCCUAAGUGCAAUCAAGCAGGACAAGUACUAAUUUACAACACUCAAGGGUGAUCCUACAUUUAUGAUGUUCUGUUAAAACCACCGUUGAAAUCCCCGUGAGCCACCAAAGCAUUUCCACCUAAAACCUAGAUGGGCGCAAAACAGAAAGUGUGAGUAGGCAAAAACAAAGUUUUGCAAAAUCAUUUCAUUUCUCAAAAGUUCUAACCCCUCGCCCUAAAACCUGUAUAAUUUCCCAGAAAAUAAUAAUAAUAAUAAUAAUACUAAUAAUAAUAAUAAUAAUAAGCUGUAUCAGAAAUCAUACUCAAGAUGAAAAUCCAUAGAAGUAUACCAUGCCAAAGUAUCUUAAUGCAAUGCCAUAAAUAAUCCAGACAAAAUAUAUCAAUGUCAGGUAUCGCAUCAGCUGAAUCCCUCUAACUCAAACUGUAUGGUUGAGUCUAUAGCUCAUAACCAAUCUCAAUCAUAUCAUAUCAAUUCUUGCACACGAGUCGGAACCACCUAAAGUGGUCUGUACGACAAGAGUAGGUGUAAAAUAAAUAUGCUCUAGUGCUACGAUCACAUGAAGGCUGUGCGAAUAAUCGCGGGUCACUUACGAGUCGGAACCAUCUAAAGUGGUUUGUACGAAAAGCCUUUGCACCUAACUUGGAUCCUAGGUGAGCAUAUGGUGCGAGAGGUGAAUGUCACGUGAAAGACUGUACCCUAACUUUGGACGGGAGCACUAACACCAAGGUGCAUGUUUAUGAGCUCUCAAUACAUCACAUCAUAUCUCACAUAACUGAAGUAACCUCAUAUCUUUAAUUUAUGAACUUACCUAGCACUUACCUGUGCGUCUGCAGCACCAAUCAUAAAUAUAUGCAACUACUAAUGCAUAAAUAAAAUAGGCAGAUACUUUACAUGGCAUUUCAAAACGUAAAAUCAUUCAAAUUCAUUUUUUGGGAAAAAUCUCAAAGUUUAUAGGUAUAUACGGAAAACCAAAAGCACACUCAUUGAUAUGUCGAAGGGUCGUAGCCCUCGAGCCUCGAUUGAUGGCACUCGUCCUUAGGAUAGGUCUCACCUAUAUGCGAAAUAACUGAAUAAACAUUAUUUAAAGCACAUACACAAAACUAAGAAAUAACUUCUCAUACAUUGCUCAAAUGAGGUAUUUGAAUAUACCACCAUGAUUUACUCAACCUCAGGAACAUCCUCAUAUUUUUAGAAAAAUUUUCCGACCUCCCACGCCCCGCCACGCACCGGCCAAGGCAUGGCCAAACGUGCUCCCAUGCGCGGCCAAACCCUAACUGAGCCUAACGACCAUUAGGAAUAUUCCGUUAAAACCUUAACAAAAGUUAAAUGCGUUACCUGACGCCAUUAGAAUAUUCUGUCAGACUUGACAAAAUAUUCUCCUUCAUAUUCCUGGGUUCGCCGGAGAAUGUUGUCGGAGCCGCUACGAUCGCCUGAAACUGGGAAAAUAAUCAAACCUUCAUAUCUUCCUCAUUUCUCAACCAAAACUCACGAAAUUUAUACCAAAUUGAAGCUUACAACAAGAAGAACAAAACCUUACCAAUUUCACGCCUAGAAAUCCAUGGGAUUUCAUCGGAUAAACCUCGAUAAUUCGGCCAAAAUUGAAACUUGCCAAACUUAACUUCCCGACAUCCAAAACACUUUGUUUUUCUUCUCCAAGCUUUGUGAAGACGUCCUAAGGCUCACUAGCAACUUAAAAUCUCCUAAAAACUUCACAUUCACGAUCAUAUGAACAGUGCCUUAAAACUGGGAUUUCUGGUUCUCGGGAAAACAAGGUCUUCACGUCAAACUAAAGGCAUAGAUGACCACCUGGACUCACGAGGAACACAUAAACAACCUCCUCGACGUCGAUCCGUGAAGAUAGGGUAAGGUUUGGGUGUUGUCCAUACGAGUACGAAAAUGGCAGAAAAUUCGAGGGAAGGAGAGAGAGAAAGUCAACGGGAAAGGGUUUGUGUGAGUGUGUGUGGUCCAGCUGGGUCACCAAUCAAAAUAAAUAAAAGCUUAAGUUUUAAUUGGAUCCAAUUAAUUAGGAAUAGAGCUAACUGGCCUUUUUUUCUUAGCCCAAUCUACACAACACCACGAAACGCUCAAGGGUACUUUAGUCUUUUCACACCACCGAUGAAAUAAUUCAAGACGGGCUGUGAUCAAUGAUCUAAGUUAGAAUUCCAACACCGGAAAACUUGACUUCUGGCUAAUUUCUUUGUGGUUCUCUCAGUAAGAAUGUUUGGGAUUGUAGAAGAAUUUUAUGUUUCUAUGUUCUAAAUGUCAUGCAGAUUGAUGUAUAUAUAAUAGGUUUAUGCAUGUUUGCAACAGGUAUGAGAAUGGGAUGAGUUUGUUAGGAGACAUCUUCUCAAAGGGGUGCUUUGUUCUCUGGCGUUCUUUCAUCACUUCAGACUUCAUCUGAAAAGAUGAGUUUAUUGAUAUAAAAAAUAAUUAAUUAAUUAAAAAUAAGUAAUUAAAAAAUUUAAUUAUAAAGCCCAAUCUCAAACUUGAGCCCAAUUUUAUGAUCUAUGACCCAUUACUCCAUUCACUCUCUACAAGGGACAAAAUCUUAUAAAAUAAAAAUCUUUUAAUAGUGACUAAUAUGGGAUCAUAAAAUUUCUACUCAAAAUUUCUAACACUUAAAAGCAAGCUACAGCUACCUCAAAUCAAUCAAUGAAACCGCUCCCAGUAGGUGGGCGGCGUGCUCGUCUUGUGUGACAAGACCGUAGAGCGAGUGGCUCUUCUCUGUGUGAACUUAUCUUGUGUGACAAGCCCAUAGAGCGAGUGACUAUUCUAGAUGAAUUCGAACUUGAUAUUGAUAUCAGCGGAGGCGUUUGCAAGCGGGCAAACUAAAUAACAUGUUCAUGUUCUUAUUGCUAAUUUGUAGGACCUUAUUAAACCAAUAUUGCAACAGUAGUUAAACCGGAAUUACCGUUACUCGAACGAGCACUAAAUAUAUUAAUAUAAACGACAGACAAAGUUACAUAUCACAAAGACAAACGAUACUGUGUAGUGUUCGGUGCAUUAGCCGCACCAGAGCUGAGCUCGCACCAGGCUCCGCUAGCUUAUUAUAAGAUUCAACAACACUAAACCACUGUAUACAUACUGUAGGCUUUUAUUAAUACAGGAAUGGUAUAUAAUGUCUACUGGUUUCCUCCGGGAAGCUUCUCUUUGAUCUUGUCCAUGAUCCCCUUCUUUUCGUGGUGCUCCUCCGUGUAGGUGGCACCGCCGUAGGGAGUUGUGGUCGUACUAGCAUGUGUUGUGGUUGAGUAGUGGGGGUCAUCCUUGUGGCCAGUACCCGGCAGCUUGUCCUUGAUCUUGUCCAUCAUCCCCUUUUCCUGUUGGUGCCCUCCUGGGUAGGUGGUGCCAGCGGUGCCGUAAGUUGUCUCAGUCGUGGUUGAUCCCGGGAGCUUCUCCUUUAUCUUCUGUUUCAACCCCUUCUUCUUCCUCCUCCCACCUAGCCCAUCAUCCUCCGACUACACCAAAAUAAAUACACGCCGACAUAUGAAUUUCUUUUUCAGAGGGAAUUACAAGUUAAUUAACAAUAUUAAUAUUAUAUAAUUAGUGUAUAAAAGAAAUUGAUGAUCAAAUCCUGCCAAUAAGAGUUGGAUCUUGCAUAAAAAUUGUAUCUACGCGAUUGUAUACAAGUUAAAAAUUUCCGAGGGAAUAACUUCUGUUUUAAAUGAAAUCUAUCUUGUUGUAUUAAUUAAAAAUUAGUAAACAUGCUACAGUACAAACAUUCUCAUGAAUAUAUAUUCAACCCUAAAUGUUGCAAAUCAAUCCACAUUUGCAAGGUGUACAUAGAGCAGAGAAAUGUUUUAGUUAAUCGAAACACGCCUAAUACACCUGGUCUAAUAAUGCUACCAUUAAAAUUUUUGCCUAUUGACCAGGUGACAUGAUACAAAUAACAAUAGGGGACCGCCUACAUAUAGAGAAAUUUUUAUUGUAUCAGAACACGCCUAAUUCACCAGGUCUAAUACUAUCGAUUAAAUAUUUUACUAGUUUCUAAUAAUACAAUUAUAUUGGGGUACUGGACCUUGCUACAGGCGCAUUGAAAAUUUUCUACGUGCUUAUAUUAGGAUUGAACAUAAAUUCAUGCGUGUGUGCCUAAUUAAGCCUAACCUUUUUGGCUAACUUGGUCAAUAGACAAAAUCAUGGUACGCGCUAUUAAGUGAAUCCUACGUAAAUUAACAUCACAUUUUCAUAUGAGAAAAAAAUAAGAAAUCACUUACAGAGCUAGAGCUUGAGCUGCCAGAGCGGUGGAGCGCGCCAGUGACACCAUGGUGCUCUUUCCUGCCGUAAUCGUGACCAGUGGUCGCAGCGGCUGUGUCAUGAGCACCGUAUCCUCCGGUGGUGGCACCUGUAGUAGCACCGCCAAGUGGGUUCCCGUACUCGUCGGUUCUCUGGAUCGGGUUGCCGUAGGCGUCGGUUGGCUGUGCCCCGUGUUGAUUAUGCAGAUGCGACAUUUUUCAAAUAACACAAUUUGAGUAUGGAAGUCUGGAUAAUUUUGUUUGGGAUUUGAUGGGAUUGGAGGGAAAAUAUGGCGGGAUUAUAUAGGGAACCAACAAAACACGCGUGUCACAGUAGGGUUUCUUACUUCUUACACCUACGUGAAUAGUGACCUUCGAUCCUGAUGACACGUUGGCUACUGGGACACCUGGCGACGUGAAAGAGGAACAAGUGUAUCCUGCUGUCGGCAUAGAAUAAUCAGAUAGAUAAGAUUAGAUAAGGGAGUCAGUCCUUAUCAUGGAGUUAAAAAGCUCGUGACACUCCACCGCGUCUGUGACUUUACGUGGUUGAUAGAUAACGACCUCUUGGAUAUGUUCAAGAUUGGAACUUGGAAAGCAUGGCAUGGUUACGUUUUUUACACAUGCAUGGCCGUGUAAUUAUCUUGAUUUUUCUUUUUUAUAGACGUGGGGAAUUUGGAUACGGAUGAAGGGUGACUACGUACACUUGCUUUGUAAUUAUCUUGAUUUAGAUUUUUUUAAUAAUUUAGAAUUUUUUUAUAAGAACUUUCAUGAAAAAAACUUGGACUAAAUUUAUUUUAAUAAAAACUCAUGUUAUAAUUUUAUCUAAUGAAAAAGACUUAAACUUUAAUGAAAAGACAUAAUUUUAAUAUUUUAAAAAUAAAAAAAACUGACACGCGGACUUACGCGCCCCUUACACAAACUAUUUAUGAAACUUAUUACAUUAUUUUGAAACUUAAUUGUACUACACUGUUUAUAAAAUUUAACGGUACGACACUGUUUAUGAAACUUAUUACACUAUGUAUGAAACUUUUAUGAAACUUAACGGUACAACACUAUUUAUGAAACUUUGUACACUGUUUAUGAAACUGUUGACCCUAAAAACUACCAAGCCUACGUUGUGUGCAGGCCGAGUAAUUAAUAAGCUAACUACGUCAUUCGGUUGUGUGCGGGGUGUGCCAACUUGUUGGCCGAGCUCGGUCAAGGAGUAAAAUUUGUUGAUGUUGCGUUGAUGCGCUACUGACUUCUCGAUCUUGCAAUUGCGGUUGAGGAAGGAACACUCUCGGCCUUCGGGUUCUAAAGCCUAAAGACAAGGCUGCUAAUUCUAUGAAGUUCAAUAUCAAAUUCGGCUCCCAGGGUGCCGAAUGUAGUAACCUGGUAACACCUCACUUUGCCGAGAAGGCUGAUGAGAUGACAUCUGCCAAUAAGGAUUCGAAAAUCCUUCUCGACCAAGACUUGGAUAGAUAACCAAUCGGUCUCGUCGCAGUGCUGUUUAUCCAAACUUAAGGUACUUCGCGAUCGGCUAAUUCUACGGCAACAAUGCUAUUUAUCCAAACUGAAGAUGUUCGCCGAUUGCCUUCACAGUGCUGUUUAUCCAAACUAAAGAUGUGCUGGUGAAAAAGAAAAUAAAAAUCUCAAGGUUGUUGACAGGUUUCUCGUAAAGCGAAAGUUUGCGUAGGGUAGUUUGUGUGUUGAGUUGGAGGGGCUUUUUAGCCGCUUGAUAUUUAUAGAUAUCUGCAGGCCCAAGUCACGAAAACCAAUCCUAAUUGCACUGUGACUCUAAGUCUUUAUUGGUUGCUAACCCCACGUCUUAUCAAAACUUGUUGUCAUCUUGUAACCCGAUGCAAUCUUGUUUUUAACUAAUAACCUUUAUCCAUUAUCAUCAUAACCUUUAUCCAUCAUCAUAACCUUCUGUUGAAGACCACAUGCAUGCAUGAUGACUAAUUCACCAACUUAAACUCUAAAAAGUAAUUUUAACUGAUGAAAUAUAAUCACCAUAUCCCUUAGAUACAGCCACGUGCACCAAUCACAUCCAUGAAUUCCAAGUCAACUUGAAUUGUACCACCCACUUCUAUAUCAGAAAUAGAACUUUGGUUUUAAUAAUAAUCAAUCACAUAGGAGAUUGCAUGCACCUGGGGCCUGAUAAGAUGAGCCUAUUCAAAUGUCCUCGCGCGCUCCUCUGAAGACGGAUCAGAUCAUCUUUUUCCAAAACAACUAACUGGAUAUAUCAAAUAUUAGGUUUAAAUAUCCUAGUUAUUAUUAAGAGAUAAUAUUAUAAUUAAAAUCACAAUAUCAUUUCUCAAUAAUAACUAAAAAUUAUUUCAACCACUUUAUCAUCCAACGGUCUAAAACCCUUCUCAUUCAACGACCUCGAUUACUCAGGCCGAUAAUGUAAAAACGGGUCCAAACAGAAACUUAACGAUACUACAUUGUUUAUGAAACUUAACAGUAGAUACUCGUCCUAGAUUUUCAAGUUCUUUCACUAGAAUGCAAUAAAAAGUUUUUUUUUUUUUUUUUUUAACAUGAUAGAGAUCAAUGUCCACACUUUUAAAGUCAUGCAUGGCUAAAAAAAACAUGAUAAAGAUCAAUGUUAACGCCCACACCUGACCAACUCCCUCCUAACCAUACAGCCGCAAAUGUGGUUUUGAAUCGAACGAAACCCACUUCAAUUUGAAAUUUUAAUUUUAGAGGAAUAAAAUAUGCUUGGAUUAUGUCAAAGGGUUAUGCAACUGAAGGAUUGGUUGGGUGCUCUUUGCACACGCUUUUAGUUAGGUUUUUUUUUUUCAUCCUCUUGUCCUUAUCAUUAAAUAAAGUUAUAGCAUAGUUUUUUUUUGUUAAAACUCAAAGUUUUGAAGCCAUUUUCAUUAGCUUUUUUUUUAUUGAUUUCUUUAUAUCUUUAAUUAAUCACGACAACAUAUAGAUUUCGUUUAGAAGUACUUUUAUAAUGACUAAAAUCGCUUCUAAUGGCAUGGAUUGUGGGUUUUAAAAACAUUUUAAGUGCUUUUUGAAAGAAGCUUAAGAUAUAUGCUUCUUGCAUGAAGCAUAAGAUAUAUGCUUCUUACAGGAAGCACAUAAAGUUUUUAUUUUAUUUUAUUUUUUUAAAUCCACUUGAAUUAUUAAAAAUUGGUUAAAAACAUUUAGACUGAAAAUGUUUUUUCAGUCAUUUUAAAUAUACUUCUAAGUGAGCUAAUAUAUAGAAGUUACAACUUUUCGCAAAGUUUUUUUUUUUGGUAAAUGUGUAAGAUUUAUUACUGAACCACACUAAAAUUUACAACAGGUGAGGUCCCAUUACAAGAAAAGCCAAAAAGAAAAUAUGGAUCCCCAAAACAAACCCAAACCAAAAGUUUGAGCCCAGAAAGAGCAAAAUAAACAGAAAACCCUAUUUUCCUUGUAACCGCCGAGAAUGUAUCACCGCAGAACGUUCAUCCAAUAGAUGCCAAAAAUCCAGCCAAACAAUUCCACAAAAAUGAUAGACAGACGACCCCACCAACCUUCACAAAGCACCAUAGAUGACAGAUUUGUAGCAAAACACAUGAAGCUAGUGAGAGAACUCAUUAGCAACAUAGUCACCAAAGGCAACAAAGUCGUCGAAGACAAAUCCAUGGGAGGUGGUGGUGUAAACACCCGAGCUAGAGCAAAACACACUUUUCUGAUCCAUGAGAGGUGGUGGUAAGAUCACCUGCAUUGAAGCUCUAUGCACAUCCUGAAAAAAUCGCGACAAAACACGAUUAAGAAAAGUAGCUACAAAUCAGAAAUCAAAUGGGUUUGAGGAAAGUCUAGGAGGUGGAGGAUGGGAAAGAUGGUGAAAAGAAAUUGGAAUUGAUGGUAUAGGAUUUGUAAAAUUAAAGCACAUAUUGGUGACGAACCAGUGAUUAUGCGAAGAGUUUGAGUCUAUUGUUGUAAGGCAUGACAAUAAAUGCUCAUGAAAUGUCAUCACAAGCACAAAUGCCAUCAUAAUUUUCAUAUUAAUAUUUUAUAGUUACUUUGAUAAGACAAUCGAUGUGUGAAUAUAACGAUUUACACAAGGUAUCCGCCUAUUAACCAUGGAAUCACGUAGUAUAUAUAAUAUUAUUCACUUGGAUAAUCUUUGUACAUUGUUGGGAACUUUUUGAUCUAGUUGAAUUUUGGCCAUGUGGAAACUUCUACUUCCUCUAGUUCGUUUCCAGUACUAAGUUCUAAGAUACUUUAAAAGAAUUAGUGCAUCUUAAGAAACAAUUGUUAAUUCAAUGACUCAAUGACUGAAUAAUUAUGAAAAAUUAUGAAUUGCCUAAAUGAAGUUGGGCGUGAAAGCUAAAAACUUAUCAAUUUAGCAUAAGAAAAUGUGUACAUGCUUGCAUGGUUUUAGGAAUGGCUAACUUAAGAGUUCUUAAUGGUAUGGGAAAUUUGAAGUGAAUAUAAGGAAAACUUGAAGAAAUCCGUGGAAGGUGAGGAUAAUUCCUCAUUUAAGAAUCAAGGUUUUUCACACUUAAGAGAAAAAUUUGCUGUGUCUGGUGCAAUCUUGUCUUGAUUCCUCUUCCUCUACGAUGUCUCCCACUUUCAUGUUGUCUCCCUCUUAAAUCUUUUUUUUUUCUUUCCAUGAGUGCAGUUAUAACUUCCCCUUUUAGUGUAAGGUUGAAGAACAUUACUAGCCUCAUGAAGAUUGCGCUGAACGCACUGGCCAAUCUUCUGGUCAAUUUUAACAAAUUUCUCUUUUAGAAAUGUCCAUCUUUGUUUUCUUUCUUUACUUUUCUAUGUAAACUUAGUUUAUUUUAUUUUUACACAACCGGACUUCGAGAUGUAAUUAAACUUGUACAUAAAAUUUUUGGACCUAACAUAUAUCAUCUCGUUAAAUAGGUUCCCGUUGACAAAGGAAGAACUCAUCUUUAUGUGUAUAGCAUUUUUGGACUACACGUCAAUGUGUUGUAAAAGUCAUAUUGAUGAUGUCCUAAUCUUUGACCAGUGCAACUUUGUGUUUAUCUCCAGCCGUGAGGAGAUAAAAGAGAAAAUAAACACUUUCAUUCUUUUAUGUUUUUUUCUUUUCAAAUUACAGAUUUUGUUAGAUUAUCCAAGAUUUCGUCCUCAUAUAAAAAUUUUAACAUUUUUUCACUAUUAUGGUAAAAUGCUACUUGCUCCAUUCAUUUAUGUUAAAAUAAAAGAAAAAAUGGAUAAUUGUUAAGCUAAAUAAAAAUUAGCUGAUGAAUAUGGCAGAUUGUUUUGUUAGUUAUGUUCGUUUCAGUGUAAUUAAAAUAGAAAUCUCAUGUUAAAAUUUAAAUCUCUAUGUAUUUCUCUUGUAUUUAAAAUUUUAAAAUUUUUUAGGUUUUGCUAUUUUUUUUUGUCCAUUGACAUUUUUACACUUACAGAAAAAAAAAUUCGGCUAUUUAACCAAUGAAUAACUUAAUUUGAUAUCAAAUUCGUCAUCCACUUAAUUCAAAACCUCACUUACAAGUGUGAGAGGUACCAGUAGAUCACUUGCAUGAUCAUUAGUGAAUAUCUUUUAGCUUUUAACUAUAUAAUUCAACGUAUCAAAAUUUUCUUUUUACUUGAUUGCUAUAUCGUUUUUAUUGACAUUAAGUAAUACCUGCUGAAUCAUUGAAUUUACUGGGUAGCAGUUAAACUUAAAAGCAUAAUACUAUUCUCAAAAAUAACAAAAACAAAUAUACUAUUAAUACAAAGGGAACGACACACAAAAUUACACAUAACAGAAACCAAAACAACAGUGCGCAACGAUGGAUCACCCACGCACGGAUCACGCAACCGAGGUCCGACCAGACACUCUUUUAUUAUACAGACUGGCAUUUACUUAUAGUUAUGUGAAACGGGAUGAUUAUCUACUCGGCGUGGCCACCAGGAAGCUUUUCUUUGAUCUUGUCCAUCAUGUUCUUCUUUUCCUGGGGCUCUCCGGUGCGCCCAGUCCCACCAUAAGCUGCAGCAGUAGUUGACGUGUCAUGAGAAUACUGGUCAUCCCUAUUCCCACCUGGCAGCUUCUUCUUGAUCUUGUCCGUCGUACCCUUCUCCUGGUGUUGCUCGCCUACUUUGUAAGUCGUCCCACCACCGUAAGGGGUAGUGGUCUGCGUUCCACCAGAGUACUGGUCAUCCUUGUUACCACCACCUGGUAGCUUCUCCUGGCGUUGCUCUCCUACCUUGUAAGUCGUCCCACCACCGUAAGGGGUAGUGGUCUGCGUUCCACCAGAGUACUGGUCAUCCUUGUUACCACCACCUGGUAGCUUCUCCUUUAUCUUCUCUUUCAGUCCCUUCUUCCUUCUCCCACCUAGCCCAUCAUCUUCAGACGACUACAAUAAUAGAAUGUUAGUUAGACCUGGUUACAAAAAAUAUAUGUAAAUAUAAUGCACAUAUGAUACUUGAAUACAAAGAAAUUGUUCCAUCUAGUAAGAUAAAAUGUUGAUGCAAUAUUUGAAUUUGAAGCAUUGAUUGUGUUGAUAUUCGAAAAACCAAAAUGCGCAGAUACAUAAGUUAUGUGAACAAAAUACGCUAAUUUCCGAAUAGCAUUGUUCGAGAUAAGACAUUUAUACUGUCAAAUAUUGUGUUAUUAAUUUAGAUCACUGAUUAAGUUCACCAUAGUACGCACAGUUUUUCUUGCAAAAGUACUAAAUUGGACAAGCGAAAAUUGUUGCUUGUCUGGUUUUCCUAGUAACAUACGUCUAGGGAAAAGUUUGUUCAUAGUGCCCACAUAUUUGCAGCAUAGCUCAUGCAUUUAAUGAAUUAAGUUGGAACUACAUAUAUAUGGAGGUGAAAAGAGAUGAACUUACAGAGCUAGAGCUUCCUGAGCGCUGAAGCACAGCGGGGCCGCCAUGAUGCCCAACAAUCCCUUCAUCACGAGUCUUAGGAUCAGCAGUCCCGUAGCCGGUAUUAGUCCGACCGUGUUGAACCGCGUUCCCGAACUCGUCGGUCCUAUCGGCUCCUGCGCUACCGUUGUAAGUUGGGUUCCCGAAGUACUCCUCGGUAGUUUUUUCGGCUGUUGUAUUACCAUAAUUCGACAUAUUUCAAAAGAUAAACAAACAAAUGAAACUGUAAUAACAAUGCCUUGCGAAGUUGCGACUAAUAAAACUUCAGUGACAAUACUUAUGAUUUGUUUGGGAUGAUGUGUUUAAUUUGGGUCUGGGUUCGUUGGUUUAUAUAGACAACUGACCUGCACCAGCAGGGCAUGCAAAUAUGGUUGUGAGCGUAAGUGCUUUUUAACAACUUGGAGACGUGGCACUGAGAGGAAAAUGAUGACAGGUGAAAAAUUAACGUCGGCAAGAUAUUUUGUUGCUUUUUGGGUCGGGCAUAUGGAUAAAGAAUGAUAUACAUAUCUGUUCCAUUAGUGACCAUGGAUUUGGUGACACGUGCCCUCCGUACCUGUUCCACUAGCUAGCUCCACGUGGAUACUCUCUUUUGGUUCUAGCCUUCUAGGUCAUAUUGUCUAGUAAUUUCAAAUGAGAAGUGCACUUCAAAAAUUACACUUUACAUUUCUAAUAAAUGUAUUUUUCUUUUUUAAUAUAUAAAGUUUUAAGUUUAGAAUGAGAUUUUUUGAAUGCUAAUAACAAUUCUCUUUCAAAUUUAAUCUAUAGUUUCUCAAGAAGCCUAUAGUCAUAAGACUCAUAACUUAAAGCCAUUACGAGAUGAUUUAGAGAUGAAUUUUAAAUUUAUAUUCUACGUAACAUGUUUUAAGUUCAAUUUCUACGACUGAUAAAUUGUACGAUGAUGAUAAGAGAAAACUAAAUUACCUCUGUAAGCUUUUUUCAUUCUUAAAAAGACAAACUACUGUAGUGAAGUUACCAACCUGUUCGUUUUUAAAAGAAAAAAAAUGCAAACUCACAACUUUGCUGGGAAACUGAGAGCUUUUUGACUAGGUAAUUUGGCAUGUCUGUUGGUGAUAGCCUUCUAGGUCUUCUUGAUCUUACCGACACUAUCCUACGAGUUAUUUUCUCGUUUUAAUUUUUAUUUAGAUUACAAUAUUCACAUACUGUUUUUUACACAAAAAUUAAUUUGAGUAUGAUCCCAUUUUUUUUUUUACAAUAUUCACAUAGUUUUUUUUUUACUUUUCACACAUAUUUCUUAAUUUUCAAUUAUUUAAUUAAAUAAAUUGAAGAAGAUCUAUGACGAAAAAUUAACAAAAGUGUGUUAAUAGAACUUUUCUAACUUAGACAUAUCUCGACAGACUUGGCACCAUUAAAUCUUCUGCUCCACACUAAUUUUAUACACUCCAAAUAAAAGUGAUAUUUUUUACAUAAAAUUAAUUUGAGUGUGAUCACAUUUUUAUGUCAUAUUGAUGUACUAUAUAAUGUAACAAAUGAUGCAGGUAUAUAAUUAGCAUCUAAUGAUAUAAAAUUUAUUAAUUAAUCUUGUUGAUGCACAAAAUCGGUGAGGACUUUGGUACAACAGAAAGUGUUAAGUUUGUGACCUUCGCUAAAUUGCUCUGGUCACUAGUGUGGAUAAGUAUGUAAAUGGAUAGAGACAGGGAAGCAAACAUAAGAUGUACGUGGUUCACCCAGAUUGGCUACGUCCACGAAGUAGAUGAGUUCUCAUUAAUUGUGAAGGGUUUACACAAGUACAUAGGUUCAAGAUCUCCUUUAGUGAGUACUAGUGAAUGAUUUAAUACAAAUUACAUUAGGAAAUAUUGUGAGAGAAUGAUCUUUAUUUAUAGAAGAGAAUUUCUAGUUUCAUUCUGACAUUGACACGUGUCAUGUUGUGAUUGGCUUUUGAUGUUGACACGUAUCACGCUAUGAUUGGCUUCUGAUGUCGACACGUGUCGCGCUGUGAUUGGCCUCCUGGUUGGAGGGAAACUCUUCUGGGUCCUUGACGGUAUAACGUUGAUCGGUGCUCAGUAGUUUCGGGAUUGGUCAAGUGUGGUACAAACAGUGCUCCCCUAAGUUCCCGAGUGAGGGAAGCUCCUCGGUUGGGGACUUGCAAGAUCCAAGCCAUUGAGUAAUCACAAAACUUCUAAGUACCGAAGUGUGGUAUCAUUUUCACUUGCCUUAUCCGUCUCAUACGUAGAUGUGGCAUCUUCUCUGGAAGUACUUUUCCUCCAUCCAGGGGUGGUAUCUUUAACCGAUGAAGAUGCACAAGGUAAUGUAUCAAUUUCACUUGAAGCUUACUUGUAGUUUCGAGCUUGGUCAAGUGCGAUACAAAACCCUAUGGUAGGAGUCCCCCAAGUCGCCAAGCUAAGAGAUUUGCUGAAAGAGGUAACAGACAAGGUAAGCAAUCCGACUUCCAAGCAAGCAACCUGGAUCGGAGGUUCGACUUCGGCUUCCGGUUGAUUUUUCUCCUUCUCCUUGUGUCGUAAACAGCAACAAUGAUAAGGAGAAGCAAAUGGAGAAGAGAUGAUAUAAGAUACUUUUUCUUUUGAAGAAGUAAUUUUCCACAGGCUUAUUCUUAAACUGGGCAUGAGGGUUUUCUGGUUUCCUCCAGAGUAUAAGGCCGACUCAAGAAUUUGAGGGUCAAAACAAAUCCAUCAAAUCAAGAGUGCGUUUGACCUUGAUGAUAUGGGAUACUUUUGUUGUUGACGAAGUAAUAGAUGAAUUAGCAUGUGUUCUAUUGCGAUUGUCUCCAUAUGCUUCCUUGUAUCAUUCUCACUUGCCCUAUUUGUUCCUCAGGCAGAUGUGGUAUCUUUUCUGGAAGCAUAAGAUGUUGAAGAUGAGUACUCGAGAGCAAUGCCAGGUAAGUAAUCAGGCAAGGGGUUCUAGGCAGUCAGUUCCUGACUGGAAGCUUGAUUCCAAGUGCUGAUUGAUUGCUUUCUUUCUUCUUGUCUUGCAGUUAAGAACAAUGGCAAAGGAAAAGACAGGGAAAAGGCAUGAUAUGGGAUACUCUUGCUUUUGACCCUGAUGAUAUAAGAUACUCUUGCUCUGGUGUGGCUGGUUUGCAUAGGUAUUAUUGGGGGAGGAAGAAAGCUGAGUAUUUCGAGAGGCUUCGUUGGGAAUGCCCUAUCAGAUAUGAGGAAAAGUUAAGCAUUUUUGCAGGUCUGCCUAUCCGUGGAGGAUGGAGUUCGACAUAUAUAGGAGUCUCCCUAACAACAAGUAGUAAUGUUAUUCCUUUACCCUUCUUGGUCGUAGCAAUGUAAUGGGAGCUGCAAGCUUCACGUGUUUUAACUUUGUUAGAGCACUUUGAAAAAGUGGUAUGUGGUAUUUAGAAAGCUGAUGUUGCGUGUGAAGAUUGCAGACAAGCUUUAUCCAAGGAAAUCUGGCUCUCGAAGUUCGGAGAGCGAUGUCUCUUUGGUUUUCGAACAAGCAAUCCUGUCAGGGAUUUGGCUCUCGAGAUUUGGAGAGUGGUACCUCUUCGAUUUUUGAGAAAGUAAUCCUGUUGGGAGUCUGGCUCUUGAGAUUCGGAGAGCGGUGCCUCUUCGAUUUUUGAGAAAAUAAUCUUGUUGGGAGUCUGGCUCUCGAAAUUCGAAGGGCGGUGCCUCUUCGAUAGCAAGUAAUAAUGUUAUUCCUUUACCCUUCUUGGUCAUAGCAAUGUAGUGGGAGCUGCAAACUUCACAUGUUUUAACUUUGUCAGAGCGCUUUGAAAAAGUGGUCUGUGGUAUCUGGAAAGCUGAUGUUGCGUGUGAAGAUUGCAGACAAGCUUUAUCCAAGGAAAUCUAGCUCUCAAAGUUCGGAGAGCGGUGCAUCUUUGGUUUUCGAAUAAGCAAUCCUGUCGGGGAUCUGGCUUUCAAGAUUCAGAGAACGGUGCCUCUUCGAUUUUUGAGAAAGCAAUCCUGUUGGGAGUCUGACUCUUGAGAUUCGGAGAGCAGUGUCUCUUCGAUUUUUAAGAAAGUAAUCUUGUUAGGAGUCUGGUUCUCGAGAUUCGGAGAGUGGUUCCUCUUCAAUUUUUGAGCAAGCAAUCUUGUUGGUAGUGUUUUCUCGAAUGUGAGUAAAGGUUGGGCAUUUUUGCCAGUCUGUCUUUCCACAGAGCACGGAGGUUGACACACAUUGAGACUUUCUAGUUAUUAAGCAAUGGUGCUGUUCCUUUACCCUUGUGGGUAAUAGUAGCGUAGCUAGACCUUCAAAAUUUAUGUGUCUAAACUUUUUCAGAGAUCUUUGGCAAAGUUAUUUGUGGUGCCUGAGGAGCUGAUGUUGCAUGUGGAAAGUGGUGCUUCUUCGGAAUCUGGAAAGUGGUGCAUCUUCGAUUUUUGAACCAACAGCCAUGUUGCUCUUUUUUUUAUAAGGGCACCAAUUGUGUGCAAGGAGUACAUUCAGAGAGUUAUUGCUUGUAGGAAUUUUCCCCUUACUUCAGAGAUUUAUUGCACCUCAUUUCUCCUUCAUCAUUUCUGAGAAUGUCUGGCCCAUCCGACCGUCGUUUUGACUUGAACUUUGGUGAAGAGGCAGCCAUGCCUUCUCAAGACAACAUACGACACCCAUCCUUCUUAUCUCCUACUGGUCCUCUUACCGUUUGGAACUCUGUGAUGAAGAAUGAUAUGACCGCUGCGGUGGUGGCCAAAAACCUUCUCACUCCCAAAGAUAACAGACUAUUUUCCAAAUGGUCUGAUGAGUUGGCUGUUAAGGAUUCUUUGGCUCUCAGUGUUCAGUGUGCAAGUUCUGUGUCUAAUAUGGCCCAACGCCUAUGUGCUCGAACCCGCCAAGUUGAAUCAUUGGCGGCUGAAGUGAUAAGUCUCAAAUAGAAGAUCAGAGGGCUCAAGCAUGAGAAUAAACAGUUGCACAUGCUCGCACAUGGCUAUGCUACAAACAUGAAAAGGAAGCUCGACCAGCUGCAGGAAUCUGAUUAUUAGAUUUUACUUGAUCAUCAGAGGUUUGUGGGUUUGUUCUAAAGGCAUUUAUUACCUUCGUCUUCUGGGGCUGUACCGCGUAAUGAAGCUCCAAAUCAACCUUCGGUGCCUCCUCCUUCUGGGGUUUUGCCUAGUACUGAGGCUCCGAAUAAUCACCCUCUAGUGCCUCCUCUUUUUGGGGCUCUGCUGACUGCUGAGACUUCUCCUAAGCAACCUUUGUGAAGGCUCCCUCUUGUUUGUUUAUUUUGAUUCAUGUCUAUGUACAUAUUUGUAACUUAUUGGAGAUAUCAAUAAACAAGCUUUGCUUCAUUUCAACGUAUUGUGUUAAAUACACCAAGACCUUCUUCACUAAGUUUCUUGAAUUUUUCCUUUUGUUGAAGCUUGUAUGUUGAAGCUUUGUGAGUGAAGCAUGUAGGUUGAGGUAAUGCUCCCUCCCUUAAUUUCCUAAGUGAGGAAAACUUCUCGGUUGGAGACUUGAAAAAAUCCAAGUCACUGAGUGGUCGUGAGACUUCCGAGUAUCAAGGUGCAGUAGCAUAUGGUAGGAGUCCCCGAAGUCUCUGGUUGAGGGAGUUGACGAAGGAGGUGUCUUGCUAGUAGCCAAGUUUCCAAAGUAACAAAACUUCACAAUUUUCCUUUCUAAGUGGUAGCCCAAAACUCUUUUUUCAUAUAUAUUUGUUAUAAAAGUUGUUAGGCCCAAAGAAGAGGAGGCCUAGGCUUUUUUAUUUUUUUUUCAAUUUUUUUUUGUUUUAAAUUUUCGAAUUUUUGAAUUUCCGAAUAUAUAUAUAUAUAUAUAUAUAUAUAUAUAUAUAUAUAUAUAUAUUUUAAGCUUUAUAGGUGAAGCUUUGUGGGUGAAGCUUUGAGGUUGAAGCUUUGUUGGGUACCAUGAAUUGAUUUUGCUUCACACUAUCUUGAUCAAGAUAGUGUGAAGUUUUUGUAGGUGAAGCUUUUGUGUUGAUGCUUUGUAGGUGAAGUUUUUGUGGUGGGUGAAACUUUUGUUGGUGAAGUUUUUAUGGGUAAAGCUUUUUGUGAUGGGUGAAACUUUUGUUGCUGAAGCUUUUAUGGGUGAAGCUUUUGUGGUGGGGGAAGUUUUUGUGGUGGGGGAAGCUUUUGUGGGUGAAGCAUUUGUUGGUGAAGCUUUUAUGGGUGAAGCUUUUGUAGGUGAAGCUUUUGUGGUGGGUGAAGCUUUUGGAGGUGAAGCUUUUGGGGGUGAAGCUUUUGUGGUGGGUGAAGCUGUUGUGGGUGAAGAUUUUGUUGGUGAAGCUUUUAUGGGUGAAGCUAUUGUGGGUGAAGCUUUUAUGGGUGAAGCUAUUGUGGGUGAAGCUUUUAUGUUGAAGUUUUGUGGGUAAAGCUUUUGUGUUGAAGCUUUGUAGGUGAAACUUUGGAGUUAAAGCUUUGUAGGUGAAGGUUUUUUUUUGAAGCUUUUGUAGGUUGAGCUUUGGAGUUGAAGCUUUGUAGGUGAAGCUUUGGAGUUGAAGCUUUUGUUGGGUACCAUGAAUUGAUUUUACUUCACACUAUCUUGAUCAAGAUAGUGUAAAGCUUUUGUUGGUGAAGCUUUUGUAGGUGAAGCUUUAGAGUUGAAGCUUUUGUUGGGUACCAUGAAUUGAUUUUGCUUCACACUAUCUUGAUCAAGAUAGUGUGAAGCUUUUUUUGGUGAAGCUUUUGUUGGUGAAGCUUUUGUAGGUGAAGCUUUUGUUGGUGAAGCUUUGAAGUUGAAGCUUUGUAGGUGAAGCUUUGGAGUUGAAGCUUUUGUUGGGUACCAUGAAUUGAUUUUGCUUCACACUAUCUUGAUCAAGAUAGUGUGAAGCUUUUGAGAAUUUAUAGUUGUCCUCCAUUGAUGAAGCUUUUGUUGGUGAAGCUUUUGGAGUUGAAGCUUUUGUUGGGUACCAUGAAUUGAUUUUGCUUCACACUAUCUUGAUUAAGAUAGUGUGAAGCUUUUGAGAAUUUCUAGUUGUCUUCCAUUGAUGAAGCUUUUGUUGAUGAAGUUUUUGUGGUGAAGCUUUGUUGGGUACCAUGAAUUGAUUUUGCUUCACACUAUCUUGAUCAAGAUAGUGUGAAGACUUUUGAGAAUUUGUAGUUGUUCUCUAUUGAUGAAGCUUUGUUGAAUUUCCUUUUUUUUUUUUUUUUUUUUUUUGGGAAACUAGAAAUUUGAAAAUUUGGGAGAGACAAUAUAUACAAAUUUUGCUUCCACACUGUUGAGUAAGAGAUUGUGAUGCAAGCCACACCUUGUAGUAGUCGAAGGUUUGGAUGAACCAUAUAAAUUGAAUUUGCUUCGAAGGUUUAAGAAUUGUAGUUGCCCUCUAUUGAUGAAGCUUUUGUUGGCACCACAAAUUGGUUUUGCUUCACACUAUCUUAAUUAAGAGUGUGUGAAGCUUUUGAGAAUUGUGGUUGUCCUCCAUUGAUGAAGCUCUUGUUGGCACCAUAAAUUGGUUUUGCUUCACAUUGUCUUGAUCAAGAGUGUGUGAAGCUUUUGAGAAUUGUGAUUGAACUCCUUUGAUGAAGCUUUUGUUGGCACCAUAAAUUGGUUUUGCUUCACACUGUCUUGAUCAAGAGUAUGUAAAGCUUUUGAGAAUUGUGGUUGCCCUACAUUGAUGAAACUCUUGUUGGCACCAUAAAUUGAUUUUGCUUCACACUGUCUUGAUCAAGAGUGUGAAGCUUUCUACGAGUUGUAGUGUUUGGAUUGUUACAGAGGGGAAAUGUCUGAAGCAGAUGCAAGAGAGCUGAAUAGCUUGAUCUUCGUAUGCCAUGCACUGAAGUUGUUGUUGACUUGUAAUAAGACUUUGUUGGUGACUAUAACUCUUGUUGGGCAUAAGUGCUCCCCUAGUUAAGUUGUCAAGCUUGAGGGUUUUUUAUUAUUUGUGAAUGCUAAGAGUUCACAUGUAUAAGUUAUACCACACAUCUUCUAGUAGGUGGAAUGAAUGGUGAGUUGCUUUCAUCACUUGGUUGGUGGUACGAAGGUGAGUUCCUUCAUCACCUUUCAUCACAUUUCAUCACCUGGUUGGUGGAACGAGGAUGAGUUCCUUCUUCACCUGGUUAGUGGCAUGAAUGGUAAGUUGCCAAAUGAUAUUAGAGUACGGGUUGUACAUAUCACAUGGUUGGUGGCAUGAAGAUGAGUUCCUUCUUCACCUAGUUGGUGGCAUGAGUGGUAAGUUGCCAAAUGAUAUUAUAGUACUGGUUGUACAUUUCAUCACCUGGUUGGUGGCAUGAAGAUGAGUUCCUUCUUCAUAUUUCAUCACCUGGUUGGUGAGAAUAAGGGCAAGGUGUCGAGGCACAUUGUAGCAAGUGUCAAGGACACAAAGUAUGUUGAACCCUUUCGAAGCACAGUUGGCUUAUGUAUGGAUGUGUUGGAAUGUAUAAUAUUUAUGUUGAUUGAUAUAAGUGAUGCUUAUGAAUGUUUUGCUAUGCAUGAAGGGAUUCAUGCUUUUGAUAUGUGAACCAUGUUGGUUGUAACACUUAGUAUCACAUACUUUGUGUCAAAGUACGCAUGUUGAAGCUCUGAGUUUGAGUAUAAGGGUAGGUCAGCAUAGACCCAGUGUUCCAGUGCUAGGAACGCAAAAGACUCAGAAGAAGUUCUCUGAAUUCCCUCUUCUUUAAAUAUUUUCCGAAUGACUUGUGUGACAAAAGAUCUCAAGCGGUUGAGGGUUAAAACAUUUGUAACGUGUAUGCCUUCUUAUAAUAGCAUUUCCUUCAGUACUUAGUCAUCCACUUUGAAAGAGUAAGGCUGACCCUAUAGUCAUAAUAGUCGACAGUACGUUCACCCCUGGUUGUCUUGAUACAAACUUUUAUCCUUCUUGUUGUAAUGGGCUUGCUGAAAGUAAAAUCAUUUCUCUUACCAAGAGACAGAUACGUUUGGUGACUUAGCAAGUAGCUAAAUAAGGCAAGAGAUGAUACAAUGGGUGUCUGAAUGGCCAAUAUCUCAUCACUUGGUAUAACUUGACUUCCACUUCCCAUUUGUUAAUAGGGGUUAACCAUAUGGGGCUUCCCUUGGUAUGUCCUUGCUUCGGUGGAGGCGUGGUUGUAAGCAUGUGUCAUCACCUCAGAGUAAGUCUUCCAAGUGUUGGCAUUGAUCAUGUACUUGAAGAAACAAUCACGUAGGCCUGCCGUGAAGGCCUUGAAGGCGAUCUUGUCAUCUGCCUCAGCGCAUCGAGAAUACUCAUGGCUGAAGCGACCGACAUACUCUUGUAGUGACUCGUCCGGCUUCUGGCAAAUAGUGUACAAGUCAUCUACAGAAUGUAAGUGAUCGGUCUAGAAGAUGUAUUGAGAGGCAAACAGUUUCCUCAAUUCCUCAAAUGAGUCUACUGUCUCAGGUAGAAGACGGCAAUACUAGUUUAGAGCUCCGCCAGAGAGGGUGGAGGGGAAGAGAAGACGUCGCUUUUCGUCGGUGUGUAUCCGAUAUGUCAUGGUGGACUCAAAGAGGUUAAGGUGUUUAAUUGGGUCAUCCCUUCCAGUAUAGAGUUGUAAACCAAGCUUUUGUUUUGUCUUUGCUUGAAUGGGGUGUCGAGGAUCUUUCUUGUGAGAGGGCCAUGCCGGGGUUGGUUCCAGUCAGGUAUCUUGGCCUGACGUUCGGCCUUCAACUUGUUUACUUCCUCAAUGAGCUUUAGGACAAGGGGGUCAUGAGUGGAGUUAUGUACCACUGGAAUUUUCUUUCGUAAGUCUCAAUCGCCUCUUGGAAGUAAGAAAGUUUGAGCAUGGGCAUGUGGUUUUUUCUUCGACUCGCCGUACUGACUUAUAUGGCGAGUAUAUCGGAAUACCUCAGAGUCCCCCGUACUUUCAUGCUUCUCUGGGACCUGUUGUUCCUUCCCUACAUUGGCAGCUGGCCUAGGUUAUGGGAGGGGACCGAAUCUUUCAGAAACCCUUGGGUCAUUGAUCUUCGAGCAUAUGUGGAAGGGAUUCUCUCGACGUUGCUUUAGGAAGUCUCGGUAGUCACGAUAAACGGCUUUCGAUCCUUCCAACCUUUCUGCAAGGAGGUGUCUUCUUCCACUUCUUUUACUUCGGGUCGAAACAUCUGGGUUGAGAGAAAUCUCAUGUUGAUCAAUGUUUUGAUGAUUAGCUCGCUCCUCAUCAGGGAUACCCAUGUCGAAUGGAGGUGACCCUCUGUGUUGAGGGGCACCCAGAUGAUGGUUAAUGUCCACAAGGACAACGAGCUCGCAUGUUUGAGUACACCUAGUUUCAUGGAGCAUCUCAAAGAGCUUCUCAUACUGCUCCUAGAGGACCUCAUUCUUCAUUGCUAUCUUGUUGUUCUGAGCUUCUAGCUUAUCAACUUUAGCUUGAAGAGCAACCUAUUUCCUUCGUUCUUUCGUUGCUUCACACUAGAUGCAAGAGAGGUGUCAUUCUGUGUGCUGUGGCUUCCUUCGCUCUACAUGUUGGAAAUGGAUGCCUGGUCAAAAAAGAGUGUAUGAAUGGUGGAAACCAGCUUGGCAAAGCUGAAGAGAGUGGGAAUAAGUGUCUUUCCCACAGACGGCGCCAAAUGUUGAUGCACAAAUUCGGUGAGGACUUUGGUACAACAGAAAGUGUUAAGUUUGUGACCUUCGCUAGAUUACUCCGGUCACUAGUGUGGAUAAGUAUGUAAAUGAAUAGAAAUAAGGAAGCAAACACAAGAUGUACGUGGUUCACCCAGAUUGGCUACGUCCACGGAGCAGAUGAGUUCUCAUUAAUUAUGAAGGGUUUACACAAGUACAUAGGUUCAAGCUCUCAUUUAGUGAGUACUGGUGAAUGAUUUAGUACAAAUGACAUUAGGAAAUAUUGUGAGAGAAUGAUCUUUAUUUAUAGAAUAGAGUUUCUAGUUUCAUUCUGACAUUGACACGUGUUGUAUUGUGAUUGGCUUCUGAUGUUGACACGUGUCACGCUAUGAUUGGCUUCUGAUGUCGACAUGUGUCGCGCUGUGAUUGGCCUCCUGGUUGAAGGGAAACUCUUUUGGGUCCUUAACAGUAUAACGUUGAUCGGUGCUCAGUAGUUUCGGGAUUAGUCAAGUAUGGUACAAACAAAUCUAAUAUGUAUAAUUUGUCACAUCAAGUGAUACAUAAAAAAUGGUGCAAAAAUUUCUCAACAUUUUCUUUGACAUAAAUGUGUUCAAAUAGUAUUAUUUUCAAGCACAUCAGUAUUCAUUCAAAAGUAGCUCGUCCUUUUUUUAUUUGCUAUUUUUGUUUUGAAUAUACCCUCCUUCCAUUUUCACUAUAUAUAUUAUUUAUUUUUUAGAAAAAAAGGAGACAAUUGGUGGUAAGUCAUUUUAUCUACUCCUUUUGAGUCCGAAAAGACUAUGGAAAUUUUCACUCUGCUCGUGACUACAGUCAAACAAACUACUCAGUUCAGAGCAUCGAACUCAGGACCUUCCAUAUUUUUUUGUUUUUUGGGGAGCUGCAAUCUAUGCCCUUACCACUGAGUCACUUGCUGUGGUUUUCCAUUUUCACUAUCUACUCUCUACGUUUAAGUGUGGAUUACAGAGUCCUCAGCGAAUUAGAGUUAACUAAUUCAAAAUUAUUUUAGUCAUUAUUGCAGGUAUAUAAGAUUGUACUUUUUAAUUGUAAUUAGUGUAAGAUUCUUAUUUAAAUAGGAUUAAUAUAACCAUUUAUCCACCCUUGGACUUCGUCGGACAAUGAUCAUACUCCACUAGCUAGUUCAAUGGAGGCGUUGUACAAUUAAAGAAUUGGGUGUUUAUUUAACUUAACUUUUUGAUUAAUGAGAUUACAAAUCAAACAACGCUUAAACAGAAACCAGAGUUUUAUUGCUCUAUUUGCACAUUUGUCUUAUUUAAUUUGUUCAAUUCUAUUGAUUCCUUUGAUUCAACGUGAUCUAAUCUGGAGUUUAAUUAUCUCAAUUUGUUCAUUUAUCUUGGAUUAAUUAUUUUUACUUGACUAAUUGUUGGAUUGGUUGGUUGUUGAUAUGGGAAGGUGUUGCAUGGACGAAGGAGAAGGACAAGCUGUUCUUGGUGGAUUAACUCUAUAAUCAUUUGAUCAUAUGAAAACAUGGGAUCCUCACAACAGCCAGUUUUCUCCCAGGAAGCGUCGCUCUCUCAUUCUACAACCCAUUUCGCAUUCUCCUCAUUUUUAGAAUGUAAAACCAUUCGUGCGACUCUAGAAAUCCAGAGGAGGUAGAAGGCGACAUGCACGAGAGAUUUUUCAGUGUAACCGUCACACGAGAUGGUACACCAUGUGUCGUUAUAUAAAUGGUGGGAUAUGUGUGUUAAAAAGUUAAUAACUUAAAAAAUAAAUUUUUUUACCAUUUACAUAAAAACACGUGGUGUACCACUCGUGUUCCUGCCACAACUAAAAAUCUAGCACUUUAGGGGGGAAAACUGAUCUCGCUUCUCCAAAGAAAGAUUAAUCCGAUAACGAUUCCAUGCACUAGAGAGUUGAUAGGGCCGUUUCAGUGGCCAGAAAAAGAAAACAAAGAAGUAAGAGAUGGAUUUCCAUUGCAGAAAAUAUUUGACUUGAUGGGUACACUUAAAUAAUUUUGCAGGCCACAUACCACAAGGGAUAAGAUGCAUCAGUUUUCCACCCGACUACUUUUUGAGAAGAAUGUUUCAGCCAGGAAGAUUUUCUAUCUUCUUCAACAACACAACCAAUGCAGACGUGAGUGGUAAGAUGUCGUACAAAGACAUGGUUUUUCUCCAUACUCUUAUGUAUUCCUCGGUUUGUUAGAAACAUCAGCCAAAAACACUCUUAAUCUUCGAUUAAUAAUUUAAUAUUACUGUCCCCCCCUUUGCCCAAAAGCACUUAUGGCCCAAGCAAUCAUUUUUUUCUUCUAUUCAAUAUCUAUCUUACAUGAUUACUAUAAUCUUGUGUAUUUUGGAUUGUGAAGGUUCAUAUUAUAUAACUCAAUCAUAAGAAGGUCGACUUCAUUUUACAUUUGUAAUCAGUUUCAUUUUCUCCCCAGUUGCGCAAGAUUUUACCAUAUAAUUGAUUGUUGCUUAUCUAUAUAUUGAAGAUUCGGAUAGACGCCAAAGACUUUAUAUAUGUUUAGAAGAGAAUGAUUUUGUUUGGAAUGAAUGUGUCUUUAGUCAUCUCUCACGGAUGGAUUUAUAAGAUGUUACAAUCCUAUCAUUAAGGAAAGAAAUAAUUUACAUAAAAUCAUAAUAAACUAAGAAUCCCAAGAUUACAUGAAUAUAUACACAAAAGUCAACAUUCCCCCUCAAGUUGGUGCAUAUAUAUCACACAUGCCCAACUUGUGUAAGAAAAUUGAAAAUUUAUGACUUGAAACAGCCUUUGUGAGAAUAUCUGCUAACUGAUGGUCUGUUCUUAUUGUCGGUACCUCAAUUAUCUUCCUUUCUAAUUUUUCUUUGAUAAAGAAUCGAUCAACUUCAACAUGCUUUGUUUUAUCAUGUUGUACCAGGUUAUGUGCAAUGUCACAGGCAGUUUUGUUAUCACAAAAUAAUUUCAUAGGUUGAUCAUGUUCCAUACCCAUAUCUCUUAACAAAAGCUUAAGCCACAAAAUUUCACAAAUCUCCAAGGCCAUACCUAUGUAUUCAUCUUCUGCACUGGAACAGACAACCACAUUUUGUUUCUUACUCCUCUAUGUAACCAAGUUACCCCCAACUAAUGUAAAGUAACCUAAUGUUGAGCGUCUGUCAUCCACUAAACCUACCCAAUCUGCAUCAGUAUAACCUUCAAUUCUAAGAUUCUUAUUCUUUUUAAAUAAAUUUUCUUUUCCUGGACUUCCGUUCAAAUACCGCAAGAUUCUCAUCACUGCGUUCAUAUGUUGUUCUCCAAGAUCAUGCAUGUAUUGACUCACUACACUUAAGGCAUAGGCAAGGUCCGGUCUUGUAUGUGCCAAGUACAUUAAAUGUCAUACUAACCUUUGGUAUCUUCCUUUGUCUAAUGGCACUUGAUUAGGAUCAACGCUAAGCUUUAAUCCUUCCUCUAAUGGUGUAGUUACCAGUUGGCAAGCUGACAUGCCGAUUUCGUGCAACAAAUCAAUAAUAUACUUCCUCUGAGACAAGAAAAUUCCAGAAGUACUUCUCGACACUUCAAUCCCUAGAAAAUAUUUUAGGGAUCCAAGGUCCUUCAUCUCAAAUUCUUUAAACAUGUAUCUUUGCAAGGCCGUACGUUCUUCCGGAUAUUUUCAUGUUAUCACCAUAUCAUUUACAUACACAAUGAGUGCAGUAAGCCUCCCAUUUUUCCUUUUCAAAAAUAGAGUAUGAUCAAAGUUACUUUGUCUAUAACCAAACGCUCUCAUAGAUUUUGUGAAUCUUCCAAACUAUGCUCGAGGAGACUGUUUCAAACCAUACAAGGAUUUCUUCAACCUGCACACCUUUCUCUUGUAAUUAUUUGGAGCAUUACAUUCUGGUGGAAGAUCCAUAUAAAUCUCUUCUGUCAAAUCUCCAUGCAAGAAGACAUUUUUCACAUCGAACUGCUGUAAAGGCCAAUUAAGAUUUGCAGCCAAGGACAACAAAACACGGAUUGUGUUGAUUUUGGUCACAUGAGCAAAAAUAUCUGUAUAAUCGAUUCCAUAUUUUUAAAUGUACCUUUUUGCUACCAGUCUUGCCUUGAAGCGAUCUCCCGUCCCAUCAGCUUUGUAUUUUACAAUAUAGACUCAUUUGCAUCCCAUAGGUUUUUUACCAGCUGGCAAGUCUGUGAUCUCCCAGGUAACAUUCUUCUUUAAAGACUUCAAUUCUUCAUCCAUUACUGCUUGCCAACGUGGAUCAGCUAAAGCCUUCUGCACAAUGUUAGGAAUAGAUAUAGUAGAUAAUUGAUAUACAAAUGACUUACUUGAGUCUGACAUGUGGCUGGUAGACACAACAUUACUUAACGGGUAUAACACAUUAGAUUUUGGGUUUGGUCUAUUAAUUAGGUACCUAGUUUUGCAUUUAAGGUCUGCUUCGCAAGUAAGUUUAGGAAUACCUUGGUUGACACAGUUAGGGAGACAACAUGGUGGUGGUGUAUCCGGGAGCGAAGAUAAUUGAUUAUGGAUAUUAGGGCUCAAAGGUGGUGAGACCGAUUGUGAGAUAGCAGGCAUCACUGAGUUGUUCAAUGGUGAGGAAGUUGGCAAAGAGUUGUCCAAUGGUGAAGAAGGUACAACAUUUUCCAGCUGUGUCGGUUCGUCCCUUUCGAAGUUUUCAACAUUGUUUUCAUGUGAAUGAUCACCACUUAACUCCAAGACAUCACCACCUAAUUCCAAGUUAUUCACAUCAUUAUUUUCUUGUGAAUCAUCACCACUUGUCCAAGACAUCACCGCUUAAAUCCAAAUGAUUCACAAUAUUAUUUUCUUGUGAAUCAUCACCACUUGUCUCCAAUAUAUCACCAUUUAAAUCCAAAUGAUUCACAAUUUCUAUAUCAGGAAUAGUAUAAUCAAGAGUUUGAACUUCUACUUGAUUCUGUCCAUGAAGUCCAGACUCGGAAUGGACAAAGUACAUAUCGUUUUCAUGAAAUACAACAUCCACAGUGACAAACAACUUAGUCGGAGGGUGAUAGUAGCGAUAUCCUUUUUUAUUUGAGGCAUAACCCACAAACAUACACAGUAAGGCUUGAGGUUCAAGCUUACUCAUCUGUUGUUUAUUGUGAUGAACGAAGGCCACACAGCUAAACGCAUAAGGUGGAAGAUUUGGUACUACAUGAGCAUCAACAUGUGAAGAGAGAACCUGAAGUGGUGUUUGAAAAUCAACUGACCGGGAUGGAACAUGAUUAAUGAGAUACACAUAUGAGGUGAGAACUUCUCCCCAAUAUGACAACGGGAGACAUGCCUCGAGUAAGGAAGCAUGAACAAACUUCAGAAGGUGACGGUUCUUAUGUUCUACAACUCCAUUUUGUUGUGAAGUAUAUGGACACAUAGUUUGAUGAACGAUACCCUAAUGUUCCCAAAAGGCACAAAGUUCAGACUUCACAUACUCGCCACCAUUAUCACUUCUGAGAACCUAUAUUCGUGACUUAUAUUGCACUUGCACCAUUUUGUGAAAUUGCUUGAACAAGGAAGUAACUUCACUUUUGGACUUCAUCAAACAAACCCAAGUCAUACAUGUGCAAUCAUCAAUAAAAGUAACAAACCAAUAACCACCACCAAAUGUAGCAGUUUUAGAUGGUCCCCAAACAUCAAAAUGGAUUAUCAUAAAUGGAACAUAACUUUUUGUCAAACUGGGCGAAAACGAAGUACGAUGACUUUUAGCCAAUUCACAAACACCACAUUUAAAGCUAGAAACAUCAUUCUUAAGAAAUAUUUUAGGAAACAGCUUUCGUAAAUAACCGAAAGAAGCAUGUCCAAGUCUAUGAUGCCACAACCAAACCUUCAAAGCUUUGUUCUGCUCCCCUUGAGGUCCUUCCACAGUAAUAGCUUGUGUCAACAUCUGGGUACUGUUCGAUGUUAUCUCCAAGUAGUAAAGUUUCCCCUUCUAAUACCAUAACCAAUCGUCUUGCGAGUCCGAAUAUCCUUAAAGACACAAAAGGAAUGCCAAAAACUCACAAGACAAUAUAGGGCGACGGUUAUUUGAGAAAUAGAUAAUAAAUUAUAAUCAAGAGAAUGAACAACAAGCACGGUAUCAAGACUAAGGGUAUCUGAAAGGGAGACAGUUCAUUCCCCGAUAAUAGGGGCAAGAUUACAGUUGGUGACACUCACGAUAGUUUUGGUGGAUGGUUUUAAGGUUUGUACCUGUCUAGAAUCACAAGUCAUAUGUUCAGUACCACCAAAAUCAAUUAUCCACGUAUUAUUUGUAACAGAGGCAGAAACCUUUAAAGUCGUGAUUCCAAUUUCGCCCAAAGUUCUCGAGCAAAAGUCACGCCAACCGUGAAAGGAAUUAAUGAUUUAUAAAGAGUUGAAUUAAUCCAGAUAAGAAUGUUUUAAUCAUUCUCAAACCAAGUGACAUAGGCUGGAUUGAGAGUUGCAAUCUGAUUCCCUAACAAAUCAAGAAGAAAUUUGGGCACUGCCGCCAUAGUUCUAUCAAUUAGACUAGUGAGUUUGUAACAACGGAAGAUCGGAGCAAACAAAGCGUUCCAUGUCAGAUAAUUUGUAGUAGUGAGCUUGAUCGGAACCAUGGAUCCAAUAUUUUGGAUUGUAAUGGAAGAAGAAAUUGCAGAGUUAUGGUUUGGAAUUACAUUAGGAAACGAAGGAACAGGAGAAUCCGAUUUCGAAGAAGGAGAUGCAGAGGUCUCCAUAACUGUAGGUUGAAGAAGAAAGCAUGGUCAAGAUCAAGAAAUCGAUCAAUUGAUUGGAGAAGACGAAGAAAAUUAGGCGGUGCAGAGAGAAGCGGGAAAAUUGGAUCGAAGAGGUGUCGUGAGACCAAAGGUGGUUGAUACCAUAUUAGGAAAAGUAAUUUUCCAUUCAUCAAAUGAAUAACAUUACACUUUGGGUAUUUAUACAAAAGCUAUCACAACUAACAGACAAGAAAAACCUUCAAAAUUAACUAAAUUUCCUUAGUCUAUAAGCAUUAUCUCUUGUAGGUGUAAUUACAUUUGUAUUCUUAAUACAUACUUGGUACCAUACUUUUAGAAAAAUAUAUCUUAACAAUUACAAUGAAAAACAACUAACGCAAGACAUCUUUAGAGGCGCGUGAUUAGAAGAAUGAUACCAAUUGUAUAUAAAUAAACUAAAACAUAUAGCUUACAAAUGAAGCAAAAACAUGAAACCACCCACCAAUGGGAGUACUUUGUUUCUGUUUUUGUUUUUUUUAAGUUUUAAAUUUUAAAUUCAUUCAAAACUAAAAUAUGGUGAAUUACUUUUAUCUUCUUUUGGUUCAACUGUACUUUUUGAAAUUCUUAAAAGGCAAUAGGGUUUAAUGUGAACAUUAAACAUUGUACAUCGCGCAUAAUGCAUCAUAAUUAUAAAAAUGUUUUUGUAAAUAAAAAAAUUUCAUGCCCCACCGUACCACGUCGUAAUAUAAAAAUAAAAAAAAUAAAAAAAAUUAUAAAAAAAAAACCUUUCACAUGUGUAAGUAAUAAUUCAUGUACCUCAAGUUAUUAUUAGUGAAUAUCUUUUAUCUUUUAACUAUUAAUUUUCAUACAACAAUAACAACAAAGUCUUUUCCUACUAAGUGGGGUCGGCUAUAUGAAUCCUAGAACGCCAUUGCGCUCGGUUUUGUGUCAUGUCCUCCGUUAGAUCUAAGUACUCUAAGUCUUUUCUUAGAGUCUCUUCCAAAGUUUUCCUAGAUCUUCCUUUACCCCUUCGACCUUUGACCUCUGUCCCGUAGUCGCAUCUUUUAACCGGAGCGUCAAUAGGCCUUCUUUGCACAUGUCCAAACCACCGUAACCGAUUUUCUCUCAUCUUUCCUUCAAUUUCGGCUACGAUGGUUUGGACAUGUGCAAAGAAGACCUACUGACGCUCCGGUUAGAAGAUGCGACUAUGAGACAGAGGUCCAAGGCCAAAGGGGUAGAGAAAGACCCAGGAAAAUUUUGGAAGAGACACUAAGAAAAGACUGAGUACUUGGAUCUAACGGAUGACAUGACACAGAACUAAGCGCAAUGACGUUCUAUGAUUCAUAUAGCUGACCUUACUUAAUGGGAAAAAAAUUUGUUGUUGUUGUAUGAAAAUUAAUAGUUAAAAAAUAAAAGAUAUUCACUAAUAAUAACUUGAGGUACAUGAAUUAUUACUUACACAUGUGAAAGGUUUUUAUUUUUUAUUUUUUAUAUUACGGCGUGGUACGGUGGUGCAUGAAUUUUUUUUAUUUACAACAACAUUUUUAUAAUUAUGGUGCAUUAUGUUUAGGGCUGGAAAAAAAAUACCGAAAAUCCCAAACCAUACUGAAACCGAACCGAAAAAAUACCGAACCAAAAAUCCCGAAAAUUUUGAUACCAAAACCGAACUGAUCCCGAAUAUUUUGGUUUGGGAUUCGGUCUCACACUUUGAAUAAUUCGGUAUUCCCGAACCGAACUUUGCUAAUGUAACAUAUAUAUAUAUAUAUAUAUAUGUUAGUGUGUGGUGUGGUGCUGACAAAAGUAGGAUGGGUGUGUGGUGUGGUGAAGUAGGAUGGAUGGGUCAUGGGUGCUUGUUUUCUAUACAGAACUAUGUCUGUCUCUCUCUUAUUUUCUGUCUCAUCAGUCAUUUUUCUCGUAUUCUCUCUCUACAACCCAUAAACCACCUAACCCUUUAUCUUUCACUUAUUUUCCAUAUCUUCUCUCUCGUAUUGUCUCUCUCUCUCUCUCUCUCUACAACCCAGAAACCACCCCUACUCACUUCAAAACCGAAACCACCCUUCCUUCCACUCAAUCUAAAACCGAGCUGACAUCGUACUCUCUCAUUUCAUUUUGCCUUUCUCAUAUGCCUUCACUUAGUCUCAGACUCUUUCUCCUUCUCGGAUUCGAAGCUCAGCAGCCACCCACCGUUUAACAAUCUCACUCUGACGAACUGUCUCCACUCCAGCAACCACCACAUCUCACGACUUCAUCCCCACCUCUGGUUCUCUCAAGUGAUUCUCUGUGUUUGGGAUUUCGAAUUAAGGUUAGGGUUUCGAAUUGGGGCUUAGGGUUUCAAAUUGGGGGCUCGGGUCAGGACGAGGACGCAUGUCUCUCUCUUCACUCACCCUACCAUAAAUCUUCGCUAAUUCACUAUCACUACGUCUCUUAUUUCAAUUAGGAUUUUUAAUGGAGGUUCAGAUGAUUUCAAUUUCUAUCUAGAUGAUUUCAAUUAGGAUUAUUAAUGUUCAGAGUAUAUCAAAUUUUUAUUUUUUGCUUAUAGCUAUUUCGGUUUUACUAAAGUUACGUCAUACGUACCGAAUCAUUAAAUUUCACUUAGCAUAAUACAGCUCCCAGAUAUUAGCGCACACAAAUAUAUUAUUCAUACAAAGGGAACGAAACACAAAGUUACAUGUUUAACAGAAUACAUAAAAGACAGUGCUGGACGACUGCGUAUCACACAGCUGAGGUCACACACCAGGCACUACCUUAUUAUACACCAGACACAAAGUUACACGAGUAAAGAUGAUGAUCUACUUCUUGUGGCCGCCAGGAAGCUUCUCUUUGACCUUCUCCAUUAUGCCUUUCUUUUCCUGGUGCUCUCCUAUGUUCGCUGUCCCACCAUAAGUUGCAGCAGUAGUUGACGUGUCAUGAGAAUACUGGUUAUCCUUAUGCCCACCUGGCAGCUUCUCCUUUGUCUUGUCCAUCAUACCCUUCUCCUGGUGGCGCUCUCCUUCUCCAUCCUUGCUGCCACCAAAUGGCAGCUUAUCCUUUAUCUUGUCCAUUACACCCUUCUCCUGGUGGUGCUCGCCUUCUCCUGCAUAGGUGGUCCCACCGCCGUACUGUGCACCGGUGGUCGGCUUUGCAUGCAAGUACUGGUCAUCCUUGCUAGCACCGCCUGGCAGCUUCUCCUUUACCUUGUCCGUCACACCCUUUUUCUGGUGGUGCUCUCCUUCUCCUGCAUAGGUGGUCCCACCGCCGUAAUGUGCACCGGUGGUCGGCUUUGCAUGCGAGUACUGGUCAUCCUUGCUAGCACCGCCUGGCAGCUGCUCCUUCACCUUGUCCAUCACACCCUUCUUCUGGUCGCGCUCUCCUUCUCCUGCAUAGGUGGUCCCACCACCAUAAGGUGUAGCGGUCUGCGUUCCAUGAGAGUACUGGUCAUCCUUGUUACCACCACCUGGCAGCUUCUCCUUUACCUUGUCCAUCACACCCCUUUUCUGGUGGUGCUCUCCUUCACCUGUGUAGGUCGUCCCACCGCCGUAAGGUGUAGUGGUCUGCGUUCCAUGAGUGUACUGGUCAUCUUUGUUACCACCACCUGGUAGCUUCUCCUUUAUCUUUUCUUUUAGUCCCUUCUUCCUUCUUCCACCUAGCCCAUCAUCUUCAGACUACAAUAAUAGAAUGUUAGACCUUGUUACAAAAAAUAUAUGUAAAUAUAAUGCACAUAUCAUACUUAUAACCCUAAGAAAUUGUUCCAUCUGGUAAGAUAACAUGUUGAUGUAAUAUUUGAAUUUGAAACAUUGAUCGUGUUGAUAAUUGAAAAAACAAAAUGCGCAGAGAUGCAUAAAUCUAACAAGGGAACAAAAUACACUAAUUUUCCGAACAAUAUUCUUCAAGAUACGAAUUUGUAAUAUGUUAUUAAUUUAGAUCACUAAUGAGCCCAUCGUUGGUGCGCGCAAUUUUUCUUGCAAAAAUGUUAAAUUUGACAAUAGAAAAUUAUUACUUCUUUGAUUUUUCUAGCAACAUAAGUACCUCUUACAAGAAAAGUUUAUUCAUAGUACGCAUAGAUUUGUAGCAUAUCUCAUGCAUCUAAUGAAUUAACUUAGAACUACAUUUAUAUAGAGGUGAAAAGAGGAGAACUUAC